UUUUUUUUUUUUGUUAAGUGGCAACAGAAGCCACCCCACCAACUUUCCGGUUGCAAACCAAGGAUUCCUCUAACGUACACAUAGGAUAGCAAAUAGAGAGUUAGAGACUUCGUUCUUCCCUCUUCUUCCCCCGGGCAAGCCCAUUAUAUUGCUUGCUUGGGAAUCAAUCACCCUAUUGGUCACUGCUCCCUCCGUCAAAAAAAAAACAAGUUAUUCUGUGUUCAAAAUUUGUCUCACUAGUCGGAGAAAAAAAAAGAAGAAGAAAAAACAUAUUCCUUGAAAGCACACACUACUGCAGCUUUGCAACAUGGACACCUACCUACUCCCACAAUUUUGCAGAGUUGAUUACCCCCUUCCCAGCACCUUUAAUCUGAUUAACCUCUUUGACGUUGAAACCAUCCCGGUCGUCCCAGCCAGUAAGAGCCCAUGCUAGCCACAGGGACGCAAACUAAACGCGGCUUUGCAAAUAUAUUAACGUACCGUCGCCGUAUGUGAAUGUGGUGCGCUCCAGCAAAUAAAACCACUAUAAAAACACAUGCUGACCAUCGCAAAAAAGGAAACAAUUAAGUUGAUGCAACUGCGAGGACGCUGACAGGCGUUGGUCGUUGGAGAAGGACCGGCCGGAUGAGGGAGUGAGGAGGCUCAAGAGAUAAAAGUUUGGGGGGUCGGACAUUCGGAUUGGUGGAUUACCAGAUUUGAUCCAGUCUGCUGGGUUCAGCGGUCGACAGAAAUGUUCUAUUCCAGUUGCCGCAGGAUGGAUAGAAUACAGCAGAAGUUAUGAGGCUAUGAGGUGAUGCAGCCAUGAGCCAUGCAGAGACUGGAACCCACUCGACCCGCGUCGCCUAGGGGUGACUUGGGCGGCGCCGCAUCCCCCACCGCUAGUGCCGCCCCCUCCUCUCCGCCUCGCCACCGCCGGAGCUCGCCGGUGGAAGCCCAUCCAGCCGCAAUGAGGACGGCGGCGGGCGCAUCUCCUCUCCCACGAAACCCCAUCUUCCCCCUCCGCAUCCUCCCCCACCCUCUCAUUUGUUGGUGGCGGCUGACGCCCCUGGAUCCAGCAAGUCCAGAUCUAGCAUCGGCAUGCCCGGAUCCGGCGCCACCCUGGUCGUUGGGGCCUCUCCUAGCGGUUCCCUAUGGGAGGGCGCUAGCAGCUCCGCAGGGACCCGUGGCCACGACGGCUGGCGAUGACGGUGGCAGGGUGGCGGUGGCGGCCCACGGUAGGAUAGGGGCACGCAUGGAGCCAACCUCUCCUAGGUUGAGCUCCGAGUGGAGGGCGCUUUCUUCACCUCCAGUGGCCGCCACUGUGGGGAGCUUGCCUCCGAUUGCCGUCCUCCCUUCAGGUCCUAUGGCCGUGCAAUGCUUUUCGUGGUUGUGCAGGUUCCCGGGCGAAAGCCUAGCUCGGUCCUCGACCAUUUGCCGGUGAUGACAGUGCUAGGGGCAUCGUUUUCCUUCUUGAAGGCGUUACCAUGAGAACCGCAACAUACAAGGAUAGAUCCAGGUGAAAACCAGAGAACCGACUUGCUGGUUCGGGCGGAGGCGGUAUCGAGAUGUUGCUCUCCUCAGAGGCGUUGUCUUGGAGUUCUUGAUGGUGACACCAUGAUCAGCUUGGAGCAAUGGCGGUGCCCGAUCUGUUUUGCGUGGUAGAGAUCGACUCAGUGCGGUUUCUAGACGACAUGGGUUGCCAGGCAGCACAUGACCAUCGAUGAUCCUUACAUCAAAAGUUUCUAAGAAGACAGCUGAUGUGAGAUGUUCGUCACUGCAUAAUGACCAAAGCAAGGUUGAAGGAAGGACAUAGAAGAAGUUCGAAGCUUAAUCUUUCAAGCUUUCUUUCUUAUUUUCUUUCUUUCUUGUCUUUUGUGUUCCUUGAUUGGAGGUUUAGAGUCUAAGUACUCGUAUAGCUUCUGGUUAUGUGGCAGGAUGUGUUACUUUAUGAUCGUAGAUAUUCACAUGUUAAUGUUCCAGAACGGAUGUUUUUCCUUAAUUUAAAAAAAAUGAGCCAUGCAGAGGGAGCUAGCCAAAAAGGAUGACUGGCAGGUACGAGCAAGUCCUCCGGUUUGGCUUUGUGGCAGCUCCCGCCCCCCAAAAAAAACCUGGAAAGGACACCUGUACGUGCUGAAGUAGCCGUAAAAUACAAGGGCUGAUCGAUCUAUACCUAGUCAACAGUCACUAGUGGUAUAAUGCUAUAAUCAGAGAUAGCGGCGAGUCAACUCAAAGGUGGCGAGCAGGUUGCCAGGGAAACAGGACCGGCAGCCUAGGGAUCGCAUGCUUGUGCCACGAGCUUUAGUUAGUGAAAUUGAAGUUCAGUGCCACGAAUUGCCACGUCCCGUUUUAAUCAGUGAGAGGAAAGGAGGAAUGACCCGUGACCGCGAGCAAGAUCCCCUGGCAAUGUCACAUGAAUUUCACAAUUCCUAGAUAACAGAUCAUUCGGCUUAGCUAAGCUGAAAAGUUGUGACGACAAUUACUUUCAGUGGCGCGUAAGGGAUGACGAACCCCAGGUGGCGGCGUGGCACAGCAAGGACGACAUCAAUUUUUUUUUCAGUGGCGGAUUGAGAAUUUCUCCAACACGGUUAAUGACAUGCAGGGUGAAAUAUUAGGACCCUUUGCAGUACCCUCUUCUUCCUCGCAGCUUCAAUAUCGACGCUUGCUUGGGGAUCAAGAACUAACCCUGGUCACUAGCCAGAGCAGAAAAUUCCAUAGCACAAUAUACACACUACCACACAGCACGAUGCACAGAUGCCUACCUACUCCUAGCUAGUACAAUUUUGCAGAUCGAGUUGAUUAUCCCCUGGCCAGAACACACCAAAUUUUAAAUCUGAUUGACCAUUUUUGCCGUUGAAACCAUCCUAGCCAGAGCCAGGAGAACCAAUAUAAUACGCAAACGCGCCUUCUGCAAAUACAGUAACAACAAGUCCGUCGUCACCGUGCAUCCAGACCACAUGCAGCGCACUCCAGCCAAUAAAACCACUAGAGAAAACACGCGCUGACCUAACAUAACUAGAUUGCAUGAACAUGGGUCAAAGGCAGCAUCAAGUUGCAUUGCUGCAAGCCUGCAACUACCAGGACAUUGACAGGCGCGGCGCUGGAGCUGGAGCUGGAAAAGGACCGGCCGGCCGGAUGAACGAAUCGGAUGAGGACACGGCACGAAUUUGGGGCUAUCGGAUUUGAACCAGUCCGAUGGAUUGAGCAGGCGCUGAAAAGGUGCAAUGCAAGUUGCAGUAUACAAAAAUACAGCAGAGCUACACAAGUUUAUGGGAGGUGGCGAACUGGCGAUGGGCAGAAUGGCUGAUGCAGGCGUGCCGGAAGGACAGGCUUGUACGAAUAUAGCUUAAUUGUCUUAGUUCCUGUCGUGGAACCUACUUUGAGUUUUCAGAAUUUGUUUCAAAAAUUAACUACUUUGAGUUCCUGUCUAUCGAUAACUAGAUUCUUGUGAUGACAGUGCAAAGAAGUAGAUGGGAAAACACCACACACCUUAAUGAGGGGGUGACCUCUGUAUAUAUGGCCAAUAUGGCUUGGAGUACGAGGAAUACAUCAAGUGUACAAGGAAAGAAUAAAUACAUCAUAAAAUACACAUAUAAUUCCUAAUACCCGCCUGCAGUCGAAGCGGGAGGAUUACGGACACACAGACUGGACCGAAACUCAAUAAACAAAGGAGUUGGCAGGCCAUUCGUCAUGAUGUCAGCGAACUGAUGAGAGGAUGGCACAUGGAGGACCCGGACCUCACCUAAGGCCACCUUCUCACGGACGAAGUGAAUAUCAAUCUCGAUGUGCUUCGUGCGUCGAUGAUGCACCGGGUUGGCUGUCAUGUAGACAGCACUCACGUUGUCGCAGUAGACAACAGUGGUCGAAGCAAGCGAGACAUGAAGCUCUUGAAGAAGUUGGCGCAGCUAGCAACACUCUGCCACAGCACGAGCCACGGCCUGGUACUCCGCCUCAGCACUGGAACGAGACACUGUGGUCUAGCGCUUGGAGGACCAAGACACCAGAUUGUCACCGAGGUAGACGCAGAAGCCGGAGGUGGAGCGUCUAGAGUCUGGGUAGCCAGCCCAGUCGGCGUCGGAGUAGGCAGUCAGAGACUGAACAGGACCAGUGCCGAUGUGAAACCCGGAGGAGGGCGUGCCCUUCACAUAGCACACGAUGCACUUGAUCAGGGCCAUGUGGGGCUCGCGCGGGUCAUGCAUGAAGAGACACACCUAUUGAACCGCAUACGCCAGAUCUGGUCAAGUUAGAGUGAGGUACUGAAGGACCCCAGCAAGACUCUGAUACUCAGAGCCGUCCUGGAGCAUGGCGUCGUUGUGUGCCGAAAGCUUAGCAUGAGUGUCAACGGGAGUCGUUAUAGAGUGACACUCAGCCAUGCCAGCACGCUGAAGAGUAUCGAAAGCGUACUGUCGCUGAGAUAGGAACAGGCCCAGGGAGAAACUUGUGAUGGAGAUGCUGAGGAAGUGGUGUAGAUCGCCAAGAUCCAUCAUGGCGAACUCGGAGUAAAGACGCCCCAUGAUGUGCCAAAGAAGAGUUGAGGACGACGCGGUGAGGACGAUGUCAUCGACGAUGUCAGCCAUGGCACUGCGAUAGUUUGCCAGAAUCGGAGAGGGCAGAGAAGAAGUCGAGGCUGUCAUACCGUAGUAAUGGCGCCGUUGUAUUGCCCCAGUCACAGACCGAGUGACAUGGCGCGGAGGGGCAGGUGGCGAUGAGGAGGGCGCGGGCGCCACGGGCGCGGAGGGAGGACUGGGGGCACUCGCCCGACCGGUCGGAGCGCUCGCCGAUGCGGUCGGGGCGUUCGCCGGAGCGGUCGGGCGUGCGCCCGACUGAGCAGGGCGCUCACCAGUGCGGUCGGGGUGCUCUCCCGACCGAGCAAGGCACUCAACGGUGCGGUCGGGGCGUGGGCCCGACCGAGCGGGGCGCCCACCGGUGCGGUUGGGGUGCUCACACGACCAAGCGGGGCGCUCACCAAUGCGGUCGGGGCGAGCACCGGUGCGGUCGGGGCGUGCACCCGAUCGAGCGGAGCGCUUGCCGGCGCGGUCGGCAUGUCCACCCGAACAAUCGGAGCGGGCGGCGGUGCGGUCGGGACGUGCGCCCGACCGAGCGGAGCACUCACUGGUGCGGUUGCAGUGGGCACCGGUGCAGUCGGGGCGCUCACCUGACCGAUCGGAGCACGCGCCGGUGCAGUCGGGGCCGCAUCCGCGAGUGGCGCGUUCGCGAUCGGAGCAGGUCGGAGCGCGGUGGAGAGCGGCGACCUGCUCGCAGUCAGAGCGGGGGACACGGUCGGCCCGUGAAACAGGAUGGUGGGGUCAUCGUUGGUAAGUUCCUGCAAAACAACUGAUGAGAGUCGCGGCUGCUCAACGUCUGACGACGGAGCGACCGAGGUAGAAGCAGAAACAUCAAAGAGGAUCAACAAAAGGAAGUCGAGCUGCGAUGGGUGAGUAGGAUGGGAGGAGAAGGGAAAGACAGACUCGUUGAAGACAACAUGGCGAGAGAUGAUGACUCGACUGGUGGACAAGUCAAGGCAGCGGUAUCACUUUUGAGAGGAGGGAUAACCGAGGAAGACACAUGCGGCUGAGCGAGGAGCAAACUUGUGGCGUGCCGUGGCUGAAAGGUUGGGGUAGCAAAGACAAUCGAAGACACGCAAGUGAGAGUACUUGAGAGGCUAGGAAUAAAGGAGGCAGUAGGGGAUAUCAUUCUGAAUGGCAGAACAUGGGUGCCGGUUCAGAAGAUAGGUGGCGGUGGCGAGCGCCUCGGCCCAGUAUGGAGCAGCCAUGGAGGCGUGAAUGAGCAAUGUGCGAGUCACGUUAUUAAGGGUGCGGAGGACGCGCUCAGCUUUCCUAUUUGGGGGAGAAGUGUAGGGACACAAGAGGCGCAAGUGGAUGCCCCGAAGAGUCAAAAAAGAAGUGAGAGGUUUAUUGACAAACUUGGUCCCGUUGUCAGCUUGGACGAUUCGAACAGGAAGACUAAACUGCGUGUGAGCAUAGGUGCAGAAAUCAGUGAUGUGUGAGGUGACUUCAGACUUGUGAACUAGAGGAAACGUCCAACAAAAACGUGAGAAGUCAUCCAAAAUGACUAGGUGGUAGCGAUAACCAGAGACGCUAACUAGGGAGAAGUCCAAACAUCACAGUGAACUAACUCAAAAGGCGUAGAGCUGCGAGAGUUAGAAUGUGAGAAAAGUAACCACACAUAUUUCCCUAACUGACAUGAAUGGCAUAGAGUAUGACUAUCUUUAUUACAAGCAAUGGAUGAAGUCUGUCUAAGUGUGGUGAUGGCAGCAGGACCGGGAUGACCAAGACGGAGAUGCCACAAACUGGAGAAGAUGGCGAGGUCGGCGUGGGGUGCUACAAAGCUGCCUGCUGGAGGCAUGGUGUAAAGAUCGCCAUCGCUAUUGCAGCGAAGAAUAACGUGUCUGGUCGGAAGAUCCUUGACAAAAAAACCAAAAGCGUCAAACUCUAUGGUGCAGUUAUUGUCCUUAGUAAAUUGACGAACAGAAAGCAUAUUACGAACCAAAGAAGGAACAACAAGGACAUUAUUAAGAUGAAAGUGAGAGGUGGGGGUGGUAAGGGUGGAGUUGCCAUGGCACGUGACAGCAAGGGUAUGACCAUUACCGAUGAUAAUGGAGGAGUGAGAGGGAGGGAGUCGGGAAAGAAGAAUACCAUCCAAGAAUGACAUGUGGCCGAAGGCACCUGAGUCAACCACCCAAUCGCUGUUCUUAGCGCUAUCUGGUUCAGGGCAGCGACCAGACCCGCCUAGUCCCAGGUUGACGCCUGAGUGGACGCUUGAACAGGGGCGUAGGCGGCGUGAGCCUGCAGAGGGGGGCCGAGGAGACCAAGGGCGCCGGGGUGCCAGCCCCCACCACCGCCAGCCUGCUGGAAACUCGUGGCGUCGUAGGAGCUGACCUCGGGACUGAAACAGAACCACGAGAUGGUAGGCCAUGGGGGCUCAUCGCCGUGAGAGUUGCCGCCGCCAGGGGGCACCUAGAAGCCGUCGCCGCCCUUAUUCGGCCACUUCUUCUUGCCACCGCCACCGUCGCUGCCGCUGCAGCCGCGGCUACUGCUGCUUCCGCCGCCACCCAUCUAGAUAGAACCAGACGUCGAGCGACACCCGCCCGUACAGCCGGAGGACGAGGAGGUCCCGGCGAGGAGGGUAGUGGAGUUGGAGAUCUUCUCCUUGUUGGCAAGGCGAAGUUCUUUCAGGACGAGCAUGUCCCACGCCUGGGCGAAGGACGGGAAGCCAGCAGAGGAGUUGGCGAUGUCGUCAGUGGUGUUGGAGAAGUGCGGAUUGAGGCCGUGGAGGAGGUUCAGGACAAUUUGGGAGUCCUGAACGGGAUGGCCGACGUCACAGAGGGCGUCGGCGAGGGUCUUCAUGCGGCUGCAGUACUCGGCGAUGGUGGAGUCACCCUGCGUCAUGGAGUGGAAGUCGUGGUUGAGGAAGAUUACCCGGGACUGCUUGUUGGCGCAAAAGAGACCCUCGAUGGCGAGCUAAAGAUCCCUGACAGUCUGAUCGUCAUCGGUCAUGGCGAGGUCGAGGACGGAGUCGUCGACGGAGCUGAAGAACUAGGAGCGGAGGCAGCAAUCCGCUUGAUCCCAGUCGGGGUCCUGGGGUCGGGACGCCACCGUGCCAUCGAUGUGUGACUUAAGGCCGAACUUGCCGCACAUGGACUUGAAGAAGGACGCCCAUCGAGAGUAUGCGUUGGACUUCAUCGUCGGCGUCACGGGAACGUGAGACUUGACAGAUACGGUGGCGUAGGGGUAGACGGCGAGCGGCGGCAGCGGGUACACGAUGAAGCCACCGCCGCAGUUGCCGGCGACGAGAAGCCUGGGGCGUAUCGCCAGAGGAGCCACCAGUGGCAGGUGGCGGCACAGAUGCACCGCCGUGGGCAGCAGGGUGUGGUUCAGGAGGCGGCACAGGAUUAGCAGCAAGAGCGGUGGUGUCGUCGGACUUAGAGGAGUCAGCGGAGAACAUGGCGCAUGACCGGAGGGGGGAGCCGGUCGGGGAACUGGUCGGGGAGGGGGGCCAGUCGGGGAGGUGCAGCGGAGGGUGGGUGGUGGCGGGAUAGCAGGGGGCGCUGCCUAGGGUUGCGCGGAGCAGGGGAAGGCGCAGGGAGAGGAGGCCCACGAUCUUAAUCUCAUGAUACCAUGUAGAGAAGUAGAUGGGAAAACACCACACACCCUAAUAAGAAGGGGUGGCAUCUAUAUAUAUGACCAAUAUGACUUGGAGUAUAAAGAAUACAUCAAGUGUACAAGGAAAGAAUAAAUACAUUCUAAAAUACACAUAUACUUCCUAAUAAAAAGACCAGCUAGUCUCGAAUAGGCAUUCAUAGUGAUAGGGUGUGUGUUUGUGUACAUAUAUGGAAGCAUUUGUUUGCGUUGUGUUUCUAAAGAAAAUGGCCCCAUGUGUCAUGUCGUGGAGGCAUAGUUUAAUUUUGUCCCCUUCCUCAUUGAUCAAGAAUAAACACGGCACACGAAAGGAGAACAGAUUGAUCAUAUACGCACGCACUAAAACAAACAAAUAUGCUCUCGCCCUUGUUUUGCUCGAGUCUCGAUCAUUAAAAAAGGAGAGGGGCCGAGCGGAAAUAUUUAAUCUGAUUUGUAUCCAUUUUAUAUAUGAAGCCAAAUUUCCAAAAAGGGCACAAGUCUUGAAAUAUAAAAUAUUUGAACAGAAGUGUGGAGAAUAUAGCAUAGGGAAAUAGCCGGAGUGAUGCAUCAUUUUGUCAGGUUCCACGGGCACAUCCCAGAAGCAUUCAUAAGCAGGCAGCACAGUGCCCCCCUUACAGAGCCCAUCCGACCACCAACUCUUGAUCACAAGCACUAGCCGCCAUGGCCGCGGCUGCCCUCCGAACGGAGCGCGCACAAUUCCAGCAGCGACUCCUGCUCGGUGUCGGCUCCGCAAGUUAGCGCUGAUCACCCCCAGUUCGCCGCAUUUCGGCAUCCGCACAGAUUCUGCCGAGGAAUUCAUGGCGCGCCACGGAGCAGGAACAUCUGUGCGCCGUCGCUGUAUAGUAGUUUGUCGAGCCGUCAUGUCAUGGCGGCGCGCGCUCCUGCUGUUCCUGCUCGCCUCGCCGUUCUUCCUGUGCGAUGCGGACUCGGCGCAGGGCGAGGCCGAGGCGCUCGCGAGGUGGAAGGACAGCCUCGCCCCCGCGGCGGCCGCCGCGCUCGCCUCCUGGUCGCUGCUGAACGGCUCCGCGGUGGCCGCCGCGCCGCCGGCGCCGUGCUCGUGGCGCGGCGUGUCGUGCGACCCCCUCGGCCGCGUCGUGGGGGUCGACGUGGCCGGCGCGGGCCUCGCCGGCACGCUCGGCGCCCUGGACCUGUCGUCCCUGCCCAGCCUCGCCAGCCUCAACCUCAGCUCCAACGCGCUGACGGGGCCGGUCUUCCCGUCGAACAUCUCCGCGCCGCUGCUCAGCUUCAGGUCCGUCGACCUGGCGAACAACAACUUGUCGGGUCCGAUCCCGGCGACGCUGCCGGCGUACAUGCCGAACCUCGAGCACCUCAACCUCUCGUCCAACCAGUUCGCCGGCGGAAUACCGGCGACCCUCGUGAAGCUGACCAAGCUUAAGAGUCUUGUCCUCGGCUCUAACAACCUCGUCGGCGGCAUACCGGCGGUGCUUGGAAACGUCACCGGGCUACGAGAGCUCGAGCUGUCCAACAACCCGUUGGGCGGCACGAUCCCCGCUGCUCUCGGCAAGCUCCUGUCCCUGGAGCACCUCAACGUCAGCCUCACUCAGCUGGAGUCAACGAUUCCAACCGAGCUCAGCCUCUGCACCAACCUCACCGUCGUCGGCCUCGCGGCGAACAAGCUCUCCGGCGGGCUGCCGCCGUCGCUGGCCAAGCUGACAAAAGUACGGGAGUUCAACGUCUCCAAGAACAUGCUCACCGGCGAGGUACUGCCGGACUACUUCACGUCGUGGACCGAUCUCAGGGUGUUCCAGGCGAACGGCAACCGUUUCACCGGCGGGAUUCCACCGGAGGUUGCGACGGCAUCGAAGAUGGAGUUCCUCUCCUUGGCGACCAACAACCUCUCCGGCACGAUCCCGCCGGUCAUCGGGAAGCUGACGAGCCUCGAGGUGCUGGACCUCUCCGAGAAUGAGUUUUCCGGCGCGAUCCCCCGGGCGAUCGGCAACCUCACGAGCCUCAGGGUACUGAGGCUGUACGACAACAAGCUCACCGGCCGGUUUCCGGACGAGUUCGGGAACAUGACGGCGCUGCAGAGGCUGUCGAUAAACACCAACAUGCUGGAGGGCGAGCUGCCGGCGGGGCUCACCCGGCUGCCGAACCUCCUCGGCAUCGUUGCCUUCGAUAACCUGCUCUCCGGCGCCAUCCCGCCGGAUUUCGGCCGGAAUCUGUCCAUCUUCAGCAUGUCGAACAACAAGUUCUCCGGCAGGCUGCCCCCGGGGCUGUGCAGCACGCCGCGCCUCCAGUACCUCUCCCUCGACGACAACGACAUCUCCGGCGUCGUGCCCGCUUGCUACCGCAACUUUACCAGGCUGGUGCGGUUCCGGAUGGCGCGGAACCGGUUGUCCGGCGACGUGUCGGAGAUCUUGGGAUCGCAUCCUGACCUGUACUACGUUGACAUGUCCGGGAACUCGUUCGAUGGCGAGCUCCCGGAGCACUGGUCUCAGUUCAAGAGCCUCUCGUACCUGCACUUGGACGGUAACAGGAUCACCGGGACAAUUCCGGAUAGCUACAGUUCCAUGGCUGCAUUGGAAGACUUGAGCCUCGCAUCGAAUCGUCUAGCCGGCAUGAUACCGCCGGAGCUCGGUGGAUUGCCGUUGCUCAAGCUGGAUUUGAGUCACAACAUGCUGUCGGGACAGAUCCCUCUGGCACUCGGGAACGCCACGCGGAUGCUACGGCUGGACCUGUCCGGCAAUCGUCUCGACGGUGGCGUGCCGGUGGAGCUGACCAAACUUGCCCACAUGUGGCACCUGAACCUGAGCAGCAACAACCUGACCGGGAGAGUCCCGGCUCUGCUCGGAAAGAUGGCCUCGCUGCAGGAGCUGGAUCUUAGCGGCAACCCGGGCCUGUGCGGCGACAUCGCCGGCCUGAAUCCCUGUCGCCUGGAGCCCAUCAGAGGCUCCUCCAAACGCCACAUCGCGAGGCGGCGGUUUAUCAUCGCCGCCACCGCGGUCUCCGCCGCGGCGCUAAUGACCUCUGUUAUGGCCGUGGCGGUGUGCGCUCUGGCCCGCAGGAGGAGGAGGAGGCGGGCUGGUAAGGACAGCACGGACACGGCGGCGAGCGGCGGCACGGCGGCUCCGACGGCCUCCGUCUGGGGCAAGGACGCGGAAUUCUCGUUCGGCGACAUCCUGGCGGCGACGGAGCACUUCAAUGAGUCCUACUGCAUCGGCAGGGGCAGCUUCGGGAGCGUGUACCGCGCCGACCUGCCCGGCGGCCACAGCCUCGCCGUGAAGCGCCUGGACGCGUCGGAGACCGGCGACGCGUGCUGGGGCACCAGCGAGAAGAGCUUCGAGAACGAGGUCCGGGCGCUGACCCGCGUCCGGCACCGGAACAUCGUGAGGCUGCACGGGUUCUGCGCCGUGGGCGGGCACAUGUACCUGGCGUACGAGCUCGUGGAGCGGGGCAGCCUCGGGAAGGUGCUGCACGGCGCCGGGCGGAGCUGCGAGCGGUUCGGCUGGGCGGCGCGGGCGCGCGCGAUCGGCGGGCUCGCGCACGCGCUGGCCUACCUCCACCACGACUGCUCGCCGCCGGUGGUCCACCGCGACGUGACCGUCAACAACGUGCUGCUGGACACGGACUUCGAGGCCCGGGUGUCGGACUUCGGCACGGCGAGGUUCCUCGCCCCCGGCCGCUCCGACUGCACCAGCGUCGCCGGCUCCUACGGCUACAUGGCGCCAGGUAAAGACCCUGCAACCUGCAUUCGCAAUGGCUGCACGGUAUAGUGCAAUGGGCCCCUGCAUCUUCCGUUUCUGACAAAUGGUGGAAGCAGAGCUGGCGUACUUGAGGGUGACGACCAAGUGCGACGUGUACAGCUUCGGGGUGGUGGCGCUGGAGAUCCUGAUGGGCAAGUACCCGGGCGGACUCAUCAGCUCGCUGCACUCGAGGCUGCCCGAGGAGCAGCAGGCCGGCGGGUCGCUGCUGCUCAAGGACGCCGUCGACCAGAGGCUGGACCCGCCCGGGGGGCAGGUUGCCGGGCGGGUGGUGUUCGCGUUCGUGGUGGCGCUGUCCUGCGUCCGGGAGGACCCGGACGCCCGGCCGACCAUGCGGAACGUCGCGCAGGAGCUCUCGGCGCGGAGGCUGCCGGUGCUGGACAGGCCCUUCGCCGCGAUCAGGGUCGCCGACCUGACUGGUUCACGCGGAUAGCGCGCUGCAGGAUUUGUACAGAAGCAGAAUUGUUUGCAAGGACCUCGAGGCUCGGAUUAACUUGGAUUGUUCAGUGAGUGAUUGCAAGUGAAGUGGCGGAUUGAAACUUCGAAGUGACAGAAAUUGAAAAGCUCGAACUCGAAGUGGAUCAGAACGGUUACUGUUUUCGUUCAAUGGCGACGCGCCACAAUCCUACUACGACUGCUUAUAGGAUCAAGCGUCCAUGGCGAUGUGACGGAACAUGACACAAAUGUCACAGCGCAUUUUAUGAUCUCGUAAACUUCAGCCAGGCCAAAAAAGUUAAAGAACAUACGACCUUGCUACUCAAUUUAUUAAAUGCAUUCCACAAGAACCGUGACAAAUCACGUCCACGAGAUACUUCCAUAUAACUCCAAAUGUACGAAAGAGGAUCAAAAAUUGUCAAAAUUGCAAAGCAAGCAGCACGGCUCCAAAAAGGAGAACAUAUAACAGAAGUUUCAGGGUACAGUAUAGAAGGUGUUCGCAUUUCACUAUAGUCGCGCGCCAAAGCUUCACUCGUCAUCACCGAAUGUUGUCUUCUUUCCUGAAAAAAAAAAUGAAGCAUAUGUAACAGCAGUCCCAAAUCAAGAGGACCCAACAAACGCAGCUGCGAUGUAACAGUUUAGUUUACCUGUACUAGCUGUACCAGCGGUCUGCCUGAACGGCGUGCCCCGGCCUCUGUCGCCCCUUCCACCCCUACCUCCAAAUCCGCGUCCACGUCCUCCAUCACGUCCACGGCCGCCACCUCGGCCCCUGUCACUCCUCCCUCCUCUUCCACUGAAACUUCCACGCCUGUCGCCACUGAAGCCACCAUCUCUGUUAUUAUCAGGUCUAGGCUUCGCCUCAUCAACGUACAAGCUGUAGCCACCAAGGUCACUUCCGUUCAGCUCAUAUGCUUUAUUCAAGGAAUCCGGGUCCUUGAAGUCCAUGUAUGCCAUCCUGCAAAACCAAGCAAAGCCUCAUUUCAACGACAAGAAUGGAGGUAGAAAUGGUUGCUUUUCAAAAUAUACAUAUUAUUAGCCUCAAACAGUUCCUCACAUAUAUUGUGCCCCAAAACAGAGCCUCAAUUUAAGUGUAAACCAUUGAUAUGUGAAGAGCCAACUGACCCUUUGCAUGCACCAGUUUCAUAAUCCUUUGGAAUUGAAACACGAGUAAUCUCUCCACAUGAGCCAAAAAGUCCUUCAAGCGCGCUUCGGAUCUGGCAAAGAAAGUGUCAGAUGUAAUAUAAAGAGAAAUUGUUCCAGAAAACAGAAACACAAUGAUGACAAAAGGAACUUAAAAAUUACCUGGUCCUCUCCACUAGAUGUGUCAAAGCCUUUAAUAAAUACAGUGUUGCCAGACCUUGGAGCAAACUUCUUGAAAGAACUGUUGUCCCUCCUGCGCAAUACACAAUAUAUUCAGGCCACACUGAUAAUUGAUAAUAAUGAAAGAAAAGCAUUCCCACACGAGAACCAGCAAAUAUGACAUAGAGAAUCACCCGCUGCCAGGAGUGUAUGCACCCCUCUCAAGGGCCAGGUCGACCCUAACAGGCCGCCCCAUCAGGUCAUGAUUAGCAAAUUCAAGUGCCUAAAAUGAGAAAUAAAGAGUUCAUUAGCAAAUUCUUCCAUGGAUGCAUCAAAUGUCAGAACCAGUUGGCAUCAAAUAGAACUUGAUUGCGUGAGGUGUUCUGAUCUUGUAACAGAUGAACUAAGCUGCAUUGGAUAACAAAAUAGUAAAAUGAUUUUUCACCUUCUGAGCAGCUUCAGCUGUAGCGAAUUCAACAUGACCAUAGCCCUUGAAGCUCCCAUCCUCAAAAGUAGACAGACGAACAUCUACAACCUCACCAGCCUCCUCAAAAAAUUGCUUACUACAGGAUGUGGAAAAUAGAUGUUAGUGGCAACACAGUUCAAAAGAAAGAAAGAAAGAAAGAAAUUGACCCACUACACAAACUUACACUUGCUCACGCUCUAUACUAUAGGAUAAAUUCCCAACAAAAAUCGUCUUUGAUCCAGUAGCCUGACUUUGGUUUUUGGUAGGAGUUUUGGCCUGCAGGAAAUUAGAUACUUGUCAAACAUCCAUUUAACGUGAAACAGCCUAGUUAAAGAAUAGUUAGAUGGUAGAAAUACUUCAUUCUGUGCCGACUUUGUCUUGGGAGUUUCAACUUCUACUUUUGGCUUUACCUGUUGUUUUUCAAACAGCAUAUAAAAAAUUAGAUCACGUCCAUCAUAAGUUUAUCCACCAUAGAAAAAAUAUCAAGCAUGUGAGGAUAUCCAGACUUCAAUUUCGUUAUCAUCAUCAGAGCUUUCUUCACUUUCAUCAUCAGAGCUUUCGUCACUGCUGCUUUCUUCUUUCUUUGGAACCUUAGUGGCAGGCUUUGCAGCACCAGAAGGUGCCGAGUUCUGCAGAUACAAGAGACAGUAAAUAAGUGAAACAAAAUCCUCAAAAGGCAGAGUGGACAAGAAGAGAUUACCUUAGGCUUCUUUUGAGGAGGCUCCUCAUCACUUUCAUCAGAACUCUCAUCCGAACUAUCAUCAGAAUCAUCACUGGACUGAAGAGAGAGAAAACAGUUUGUAUUGAGUGGCAGCAAUAUAAUAUGUAUAUCACAGACAAGUAAAGAUUCCAACCAUUGAAAGGUCUAUUGUAAUAUGAAAGUAUUCAAAGCAUAUUUUUUAUAUGGCACCAAAAGCCACUUUUUGUACACUGAAUAUAAAUAUAAUUUGAAUUACAGGGGGUUAAACUUUGACUUUUUCAAAUCAAAAUAGGCCUUAUAAAGCGGCACCAAUUAACAGUCAAAAGGCACAAGAUUAACAAGAGAAAGCAUACUUGUCCAUUCUUCUUCUCUGUUGCUAGAGGCCUCUUUGCAGCGAUAGUAGGCUUUUCAGGCUGCAAAGACAAGGGAGACGGAUUUGAAAAUUUGCACAAUAGAGAAUUAACAAGAGUAAAGAAAUAAUAGUGACACUUACUUCAUCAGAAUCUGAAUCUGAAUUUGUCUCAGAGUCAGAUUCUGAGCUAUCACUAGAUUCCUCUUUCUUCUUCGGACCAGCAGCCUUGGCAGGCUGUACUUUUUUAGCAUUGUUAUCCUGGAGGCAGAUAGAAAACUUAGCUGUAUAAGAAAGUGAUUUCAUGUAUGAAGCCUCUACCAACUUAUGUAGUAGGUUGCUACCUCAUCCUCGGACUCAGAUUCACUCUCAGAAUCAGAACUCUCACUCGAUUCUUCCUUUUUCUUGGUUGCUACUGGAGCUUUAGCAGGCAAAUCCUGCAGAUAUUGCUCAUGUUAGGACAACUGAAACUAUUUUUGAACACAAACUAUGAAAGGUAAUCAAAAUCAAGGGACUACUGCAACAUGUGAAUCCACAAGUACAUUACCUCAUCUGAUUCAUCAUCAGAAUCACUGUCAGAGCUAUCAGACUCUUGGGUCUUCUUUUGUGCAGAGGCAACUGAAGGCUUCUUUAGCUGAGCAGCAGGCUUCUGAAAAGCAAGAAAGUGAAACAAAUGUCAGUGAAGAAGGGCAGCAACUGCAGAGACACUGCAUAAAUAUUCCAAGACAGCGGUGUCUGAUUGUACAUUAGUACAAGGAUCAAACAUUACACGUGGGUUUUCCACUGGAACAUAUUAAUCUUCCUGCUCGCUUGAGCUUAUCAGCCGCUGUGGCUGCAGCUGCAGCUGCGGCUGGCAGCCAGCCAUUCGGCAGCUGGCACAAGCAGCUGCCGUAGCAGCCUAGCGAGCAGGUGCUGCAGCCUCCUUUGUCAACACAGGUGCUGCAGCCAGCACUACCGAACACGUGAAUUAAACUUAUUCUUUAGUUUUACAAAGAAACAGAAGACAUUAGUAAAUUCAGCAAAAGGUGGACUUAAUGUUCUAUCUUCUCCUAGAAAGGAGUUCUCAGAACAUUUCAUUUAAGUAUUAGUUGUGAAACAGCAUUUAGCUCGUCAGAGCUGUGUACAUUUUUAAAACAUGGAAGAUCACAAAUAACAGUACUUAUGAAAAAAAAUUCAUAACAGUACUGGGAAGCAACCUUGAAAACAAUAGCAUAUUUUGAUCCUUGCAGGUCCAGAAAAGCACAUAAUAUACACAGCAAGAUCAUGCACAGGUUGCGCAGGCGAUGGUAAGAAAAAACAUUCAAGAUUCACAUUUGAAGGUAAAAUAGGAAGCAAAUACUUACUUCAUCCUCGUCAGAUUCUUCAUCCGAGCUACUGUCAGAGCUGCUGCUGUCAGACUCAACCUUUUUGGAACCAUUACUAACCACUGCAGCAGGCUUCUUUGUAAGGGUAGUGGGCUUCUUUGCAGGUUCUUCAUCAGAACUGCUAUCAUCACUGUCACUGCUCUCAUCGCUGCUGCUGCUGCUAGCAGCAGCAGCUGGAGGUUUAUUUGAAGUAGCAACUGGUUUUUUUGAAGGUUCCUUAAUUGAACCAAAAAUAAGUAUGGAUAAUGUUGUAAGAAAGAAGGCCCCAAAAGAAAGUGAAUAAUGCUUACAUCAUCUGAGGAGCUCUCAUCACUGCUGUCAUCACUGGUCUCCUCUUUAGCAGGUUGCGUGCCUUUCUUUGGUUGAGUAACCUUCUUUGGCUGGACCUCAACCUGCAAUGAUUUUUCUUUUUCUAUUAAGUUGAAAAUAGAAAUCAAAAGAAUACAAGGAUCCCACCCAUACACUAGUUUACCAUUAAGCCUGAGGACACCAAUGCCAUAAAACAUUCUCUGUCGUGCAUACCAAUGAAAAAUCCAAAAAGGUGCAAAACUAAGUCGCUUUUUAGACACGAUUGCUGUUUACACCACAGGUAUUAACAGCAUGAAACUACAAUGCAACCAUCUAACAACGAACGAAUGUCAAGGUUGUUCUAACAACAAAUUAACCUCAAUUUUAGAUAUUCUGACAACGGCAUACAGAUACCAACCAAUACUAGCCUCAAGGAUUACUGUUUUUGCUUGCUGGCAUAUAGAUUUCUAUGUAAUUGUUUGUUUUAAAAAUAACAUUAAAUCUUGCCUCACAUUCAAUAAGGCAUCUGCAAUGGGUAAAUAUGAGUUACCACAACUGCAAGCUUGACUGUCAAAAGUUUCAAGGAAUAAAAGUAAAUCAACCAAUAGCACGCAGCGAAUAACAACAAUAGAAACAAUACAGUACUCAUAUCGUGCAACCUAUUUUGGCAUAGUAUAGCAGAAGGGGACGAGUGAACCACAAAAGAAGAACGGUAGUACCUCCUCUUCAGAAUCUGAAGAGUCUUCCUCAGAGCUACUGCUUUCAACUUUCUUUGGAGGGGGCUGCUUCUUUACUGGCUCAACCUUUACAGGUACCGUCUUUUGCUUCUUGGCACUGACUGCCUUCUCAAUCUCAUCUUCUGCAUUCCUCUUCCCUGUUCAUUCGGAUUAAAAACUGUUGUUACACCCAUGGGAUAGCUAAACUAAAUACAAAGCCUGUGCGACAAACUUAACAAACAAUUAUUCCAUUGCUCGUCAAAGCAUUACCCUUCUUUCCAGAUUUGCCCUCGGGAACCGAGACGGCAGCAGGUGCAACCUCAACACCGGAUUUCUUGCUCGACUUACCCAUAAUGUCUUAGAUAAGCUCUGCAGAAAACAUGGUCACUAAAUUAAGAAUAAUGCACAUCAGUACAACACAUGAAUAGAAACUAGCAUACCCCUUAUAAUAACAAUCAUAUAACAAAGUCAAAAAAAUGAGAAGUUACCCACUACACUCGAGGUAAUUGGACAUGUUAACGAAGUGGGGAAAAAAAAUACUCGUGGCAACUAGUCAGGACUCAGGACACACGAGACAGAGGACAGAUUUCUAAAGAAUCAACAAGUCAUAAUGAACUGUUACUCGCGCUCCACCACGCACGGAGCAAGCAAGCAAACCAGCAGCGAACUGGACCGAUUAGGGAGAACGAAACAAUCGGAUUCGAGCGCUCGAGACGACGCCAUGAUUCCGCGGAACAGAGCGGAUAAGAACGAGCGAUUCGAUCAAUCAAUCAGGGGGUAGGGUUCCUUACCGAGCGCAGGAGAUACGGACGGCGGCGCGAGGAGAGGUGGAAGGAGAAGGGGCAGGCGGGCGGCGGCGGCGGCGCGGGGUAAAGGGUAGGGUUCCGGUCGGGUCGGGGACCGGAGGGUUUAGGGUGGGUUUCGGCCGCGGCGCACAGCUUUUAUACCAUGUCCAAGGGAAGCGCUACUUUUGCAUUUGGUCCCUACGAGGAGUCGAUGUUCUGUUGCAGUGUGCGGUCGUCCUCGCAGAGUCGUUUGGCUGUAAAGUUAUGUAAAUAUGAGAUUUGUAUGGAUUGAAGUGUAAAGCACUUAGAUAUUUUCACAUAGACCUCGAAUGAUGGGCCUCUUAGUGGGCCAGAAAUAGUUGAACGAGUCUGCACUCCGGCAGACGAUGAAGUGUUCUGUACAAAAUCCUUCUCCAUCCAAUAAAAAUGGGUACGCCUUGAAAAAAAAUUGUACAAAAGAAGCGAUCCGUUUCUGAAAAAAACAUCAAAACAUUCUCCAAACUCGAAAAUUCAAAAACUAGGUACAAAUAGUUUUUUUUUUGAAACGGAAAUCGUGGUCAACUAGAAUCGUACAUGACAGGAUUGGAUUGUUCUUGUUUGUUCAACCACAACCUAGUUUUGCAAGGGGCGUGAACCCUAUUACAUUCUUUAGGGUCGAAAACGAAAGAACCACCGCCCAACGAAAGUCGAACUGACCAGCUUAAUUUUGUGUAGUGAUGCAAACUCGCCUAAAGAAACACGUAUUCGCCGGCUUAGGCCAUCCUAAUGGUUCAAAUCAGCUAGUUCCCCAUGGCAUUUAAUAUAUUUUUUAUGUAAUCAGUUUGAUGAUGUGGCAUAACUUCGAGGAGCGAGGAAAAAUAGUUUCUCAAUCAGAAAUUGAGCCGACGCGUUCUUCGAACUCGUGGAGCUUGCUUUUGCCAGCACGUGGACUUGCCGCUGCUGGCAUGAAGCCCCCGCCCCAAGUCCGAACGCAGUCCCGUUAGCGCUCGCCGCAGCCGCGCGCAUGGCGGCCUCACCUUUCGUCACGCCACGCCCCUCGCCAUGCGACCCUCGAGCUCACUGCCAUCACACACCCUCCAAUGUAUCUCUAAUUUUGGAAAUAUUUGAUGAUGGUUUCUCCCAACGCGUUUGUUGUCAAACGUUAAAUAAAUAAUCUGCAUUUCAAAUGCAAGUUUAAGAUAUCACCUCUACGAAUAAAUACCAUCCACCUGAUGGGACGAUUUAUACAUUAAUUACCAUUUGCUGAGCAUAUGAACCUUUGCUCCUCAAAAGAUUAGUGGGUUGGGUUUGAUUGAUGGUAUGUGUAUGCAUGUUUUAUGCGGAACUUUUCUAUCUUUGUCAGAAAACAUAUCAUACACUCAUCCCUACGAACGACACGCGUCUCUUAUUCUGCUGUACGUUUAGCACUUUAGCUACUGGUGCUGGAGAUUUGUGCAUGUCUCUUCAAGUCCUUAUAGUUACUUUCUGGGCAAUUUGGAGCCACUCUGGCCCCCUCGCGUUCUUUUCCUUCACAGUAGGCACUUGCUCGAGCAAAAUAAGUUCAUGGGUUAGGUCAAUGGUCAAUGAUGCAACUAAAGAAAAAUGUCCUUUCUUUUAAUUUGAGUGAACUCCGAUCCACCACAGUUCUUACAACCCCAACACUUUAUCUCACUCGAUCACAAAAACUUGUACAAAAAACAAGUCGAAUAUGAGUAGAAUCCUGGCCCAAAAGUGCAUGUCCAAACGCACGGUCGCGUCCGUACAUGCAAACAACUAAUUAAUCCGUGGAGCAUUAGAGCAGCAGGCUCGUUCAGCACUCGACUCCGCACGGCUUGAGGACGGGGCCCUUGGACUUGGGGAUGAAGGGGUCGAUCCUGACCCAGACGAGCGAGAAGAUGGAGGCGAGGAGGAUGGACCAGAGCACGACGAUGGUGGGCGUCCGGUUCUGCCUCCCCAUGAGCCCCUUGAGGAAGGGGUAGAGGUGGAGGAUGACCCAGAAGGAGAAGAAGAGCUUGCCGAAGAGCGGGCCCCAUGAGCCGUAUCCGUUGUUGACGGCGUCGGAGACGCCAGCGACGAUGCCGACCAUGUUGAUGAUGAUGAGCGUGGUGGGGGGCACCAGCAGGGUGGUCCACUUGAAGAGGUAGAGCUCGCCGAAGACGUCGGUCUCGUCGGCGGCCCCCUUGGAGGUGACGGUGAAGUUGGUGUCGACGCCGCCCAGCACCUUGAGCAGGCCCUGGAACACGGCGAAGAGGUGCGCGGAGACGCCGCCGAUGACCCAGAACUGCUCGUUGCGCCACCAGUCCUCGAGGCUCACCCCGCUCCACCGCAGCUCCAGCACGCCCGUCGCGAUGAUGGACAGGAACAACGCGAUGAACCAGAUGCUGGCCAGGUUGUUCAGCUGCAACAAUGCAACGGCACGCAGCGUGUUCAGUCGAUCGAUCGGCCAUUAAUCCAUCAUAAUUACGGCAUAGCAUAACAACACCAUGAGUUAUUGUUGGAAUCCAUGUCGUACUCACCGUGGGGAUGAUGAACUUGCCGGUGAGGAGGCAGACGGCGGGGAUGGUGCAGUAGGCGAUGAGCGGGAUGGAGGUGAAGGGGUAGACAAUGGUGUUGGUGUAGGCGAAGCGCUCCAGCCACUUGAGCCGGCCGCCGUAGGCGUACCAGAGCGGGCAGUGGCGGCUCAUGAAGAUCUCCACGGAACCCAGCGCCCAACGCAGCACCUGGUGGAGACGGUCGGACAAGUUGAUGGGCGCCGAACCCUUGAACGCCGGCCGCGUCGGCGUGCAGUACACCGACUUCCACCCGCGGCAGUGCAUCUUGAACCCAGUCAGGAUAUCCUCUGUCACCGACCCGUAGAUCCACCCAAUCUACGAUCAACAAAGUUAACAAAUUAGAUUUAGCAUCCAAGCACCAGUGGUCUAGUGGUAGAAUAGUACCCUGCCACGGUACAGACCCGGGUUCGAUUCCCGGCUGGUGCAGUUACUUUUUUAAUUUUUUUAAAAUGAAUGAAGGAAUUACCUCCUUGCCCCACUCUGUCUUCUCCUCGUAGCCGCAGCUGAUGACGUGGAUGGCCUCCUUGAUGAGCGCGGCGGGGUCGGCGGCGGCGCCCUGCGGGAGUCCGCCGUCCUCGACGAGCGUGGAGGCGAUGAACACCGGCGACUGGCCGAACCGCUUCUCGAAGCUCUUCUGCGACAUGAGCGACGAGCGCUCCAGCUCGUCGUACCCCUCCAGGCCCUCCUCGAUCUCCUCCAGCUCGAACGCGCGCUGGUGCUUCUUGUACUUCUUGCCGCCGGCCACCGACCCGCCGCCGAGCUUGUCCUUCUUGCUUCGCUUCCUGUAGAACCCGAGCAGCCCGCGGCGCGGCUCGUCGCCGGAGUCGCCGCCGCCGCCUCCCUUCUUGUCCUUGCGCGCCUUCCCGCGCUUGCCGCCGCCGAAGCAGCAGCAGCAGCAGCACCACGACGGCCAGCAGUCGCACGUCAUCUUGGGCCUCUUCUCCGGCCGCGGCGGGUCGUACCCGUACAGCGCCUGGCGGUUGAAGACGCACCCCGUGCCCACGUACACGGGGCCCUGGAUGCCGUCGAGCCCCUUCAUGUUGAUGUCGAAGAAGACGACGUUCCGGUUGGCGUACCUGUCGUGUCGGUCGAUGCCGUCGAACCGCUGCGGGAACUGAACGUAGCAGAGCUUCUUCCCCAGCUGCGGGUCCAUGAGGAAGCACAUGGCCUCGCGCACGGCCUUGCUGUUGUUCACGUAGUGGUCGCAGUCGAGGUUGAGGAUGAAGGGCGCGUUGGUGAGCACCGCCGACACGCGCACCAGCGCGUUCAUGGCGCCGGCCUUCUUGUGGUGGUUGUACCCGGGGCGCUUCUCACGGGACACGUACACCAGCCGCGGCAGCUCGUGGCCCUCCACGUCCAGCGCGCCCUGGCUGCCCAGGUAGACCUGGAUCAUGCCCGGGUGGUCGCGGGUGUUGUUCCCGGGCCACGGCGUGCCGUCCUGCAUCACCCACCCUUCCUCGGGCUUCUUCUGCGCCUUGGCCACCAGCGCGUUGAUCCGGACCUUGAACUCCUCGUACUCCCGCUUCAUGGCGCGGCGCUCCUUCACGAACGUCGGCUGCACCUUGUCCUUGAGGUAGUCGAUCUUCUGGGAGAAGUAGAACUCCGGCGCCCGGGGCUCCACGGCGAACUUCUUGCAGAAGGGCACCCACCGGCGCGCGAACUCGGCGGUCUCGGAGAGCGUGUCGAAGAGGAGCAUGGACGCGCCGUCGUCGGAGACGUAGCAGCUGGUGCGGUCGACGGGGUAGUCGACGGCGAGGAUGGAGAGCACCGUGUUGGCGGUGAUGAUGGGGGGCUCCUUGAGCGGGUCCACCGUGGACACGAAGAAGUCGAUCGGGGAGAGGCGGCACGCGUCGCCCUCGCGGUCGUAACGGAGCGCCAGGCGAUCCAGGUAGGUCUCGCGCGUGACGGGGGCCCACUUGGGAAGCUGGUCCAGGAUCCAGGACAGCGCGAACCAGAGCUCGCAGAUGACGGACGCCAGCCACAGCGGCACCGCGUCCGUCGCCGGCGUCGUGAUACGGAACUUGAGGAAGAAGCAGAGAACAACGAGACGGAGCACGAUGACGAUGCGGUACGGGUUGAUCUGGCUCGACGGGAUCGGGACCUUGCGCCACAGCGGCUGACGGGCCUCGGCAAGCCUAUUCAUCCACCAUGGUUUGCCAUAGAGAUUCAGCUCAUUCAUCCGUCCAUGUUUUUUUUUUUUGCAUAUAUUCAGGUGAAACUGCGGAGAGAAGAAGAAGAAAUGACACCGUAUAGCACAGUGAGAGAUCGUAGUGCUUACAGCAUGUACUCGUCGUCGUUCUUGUCGUCGUCGUCGUCGCUGUCGUCAUGGUUGAGCUUGCCCCUCUUCUCCUGCUUGGUCUUCCACUUGUCGAUGCGGUCCUUCCAUUCCAUGCUCCCCUCCAUCUCCCUCUCGGCCUCCAGGUCCUUCCCGGCCACUGCACGAUUCAUUUCUGGCGCCAUUAGUACUCGAUCGAUCUUGCAGCAUGCCAACACCAAUCCAAACGAACCGGUUUUGCACUACUCACCGCUUCCGGUGAAGGAGGACAGCGUCUGCCCCCCCGUCCGCCACUUCUGCGGCGGCUGCUCCCCGUUCUCCGAGUAGACGUCGAAGGCGACGGGCUCGUGGGGCUUCUUGGGGCUCUUGACGGCGGCGGGGAACUCCUCCUCGAAGUCGUCCAUCUCCGGGCCGUCGUCCUCGUCCCCUUCUACCCUCGGGCACCCUGCAAGCAUGAUCGAUCACUCGAUUCAGAGUUUCAGGCACGAUUUUUUCAAAAUUCACUUGAUAGUUAUGCGCUUCAAACUUUUUUUUUUAGGUGACAAACAUGGCGUGCAAGGUGCAACUGUAUUCGAAAUGAAAUCUAGACUGUCGUCUGUGAGUUGGUGACUCUCGGUGUUGUGAUUGGUGGGGUGUAGUGUUACCAACUGCCAACGGACUGACCUUUGUGUCGCUUGUAGCGGGUGUUGCACUGGGGGCAGCACUGCGUGCCCUCGGCGCGCUCGUACUCGUAGCAGGGCCGGCAGACGGGGAAGCCGCACUCGGAGCACGCCACGAAGGGCUGCCCGUCCUCCCGCGCCCCGACCUCGUCCCCGCACACGCGGCACGUCUUCACGUCGGCGCUCCGCCCGGCCGGCGCCUCCUCGUGGCCGCGCAUGACGUGCAGCUCGUCCCGCAGGUGCGAGCCCGCGGCGAGGCCACCGGUGUCCAUGGCGCGGGGGGUGGAGGAUCGGAGUGUGAUGAGGUAUCGGUGAAGGGACACGGAAGUGGGCUGUGAUAUAGCUGAUCGCGGAAGCGAGGUGGCGUGGUGACCGGUGGAGGCCGGGGGAGUCGGGCGGGCGGGUAAGGUGGCGGGGUGGCGUCCCGCACCAACCGUGGGUUGGGGAGUCCGGCGUUGAUUAGAGCACAAGCCAAGGCAAGGCAGGUGCAUGACAAACACAGCGGCGCUCGCCCGGUCGCUUGGACAGCAAGGCGGCGUCGGGGUUGGGGAUGUGUGCUCGUCACUCGCAGUGCGCCUGAAGCAAACGUGCGUGCGUGCGUGACUGACCGGGGAAAAUUUUCUGUCAAAAUCAGGGUCCGAUAGGAGGCCAGUGCGUGCACACGGCGGCAACCGACGAAGCAAGCGGGUGGUUCGCGGUGACGCCUCAGCGUUUUUGGUAGGAUGGCGAGCUCGUGUGACGGUGAAGUCAGUGCGUGUAUAAAUGGCUGGUGGUAGGACGGGACAGCCAUCCAAGAUUAACGAGGCGAAGGCACUUGUGCUCUGCCUGCGAGGUUGGUUUGAUACCUCGCCGACAAAACAAUACGGCCUUUGCUCAGGAGAACAUCUGAUGUUUCGCUCGCUACCAAGCAAAGAGCACUAGCAACAAACCCAAGUACUCUUCCUCGUCUUCAAAAGUUCUGGCAUCAAGCACCGACACAAAAAGGGCAAACAUGUUGGUUGGAUCGCCCCAUGGGCACAUUACUAGAAUGAUCCACAAUGCAGCGGUAAUCGGCAAAUGUUUCACGGAUCAUCCCCUACUUUUUAAGGAAAUUCGAAGGUCCAAAACACGGAUAUGCAAUGGACGAAUCUGAGAACAAGCUCCUUCGGGUUGUCAAAUCAGGGCAUAUUACGAUUGAAAUUUAGUGCCAUACAAAUUCGUCAAUGUCUCUCCAGCAUCUCUUUCUUGUACUACAUAGGCUAUCUGAGAGCAAAAUAACAUCAUAAUAGAUGGGAAAAUUGCCUCGGGCAAGCUGAGGCUGAAUCGAAUGAAAGUAGCUACCGAGAAGAAAACUCCACCCGCACCAUCCAAUCCAAGCCCCAAUCUUCAUGAUACGCACAACCUUAAACGGUGUACCGUCCACCUCUGCUCGGCUUAUCUCUUCUAGAGUCAUCCUGCAUAUGAGAGGCGUAGAGUUGGGAGUCUUAUCAGUGCACAUACUUUGAUAUUUUCUCAGAAGUGUUUUAACAAAUAAAGAUGCUAUGUGGGGUGAAAAUGGAAGAAUCUGAAGCCUGAAGGCAUACAUGGAAAGUGUAGGUGAUCUUGUCAUUGUAGUCGAUGACAUCCUUCCAUUUCUUUCCAAUGUUCACCUGUACAAUAAAGGGAACGGGUCAACACACAACAACACAAUAAUAUUAUCUGGAUUAGUAAAAGGCAUUGGAAAACUUCAAAGGUUGCAGCAUGGGAUGCUGGGGGGAUCCAUGAGAUAACAAUGGCCAACAGAAGAUGACUAGGGAGGAAAUCCAGAAUUACACAAUGAUCACUUAGAAAAGGUUUAUGUGCCUGUUUAUUCCUACUUUGUUGAAUGCAUAGAGGAUAUAAUAUAUAAACAGUACCCACAAAUACAACAUGUACAUUUUCCUACAGAAUCAUAAUAAAGAAAAUAAAUAACCACUUUCAUGCAACAUCACAUGCUGUUGCCCACUCAAUAAGCUGUUUGUAUCCCUGCACAACCAAAUAACAUGCACCAAAACUCCUAGCAAACUACAUAUUCUCUUGCAGAGGGAGAUGAUUUAGGGUAUGUGCCCUUGUUUGUGAAGAAAGCAGUUUUGAAGCUUCAUCAUAACAAAAUAUUGAGUCCGGUUGAAAAUCUUUCCAACCAAAAUCAACCUUACAAAUGCAUUCAAACAAGAUAUGGAACCUUUGAAGAGAACUAUAAUGAUAAUAUAAAACUUCUGCAAUAACUAGCUACCAUGCCAUGGUAUUGAUAGCACAAAAACUUCUACCAUAACUGAACCCGACUAAGGAAGCAGGAGGAACUAGAUAUAUAGAGAUGUAUUAGAGGGCAGCAUAGCAGCUACGGAUUUGCACAGCUUGUUGACAACAUUGGCAGGAAGAAAACAUGAACUACAUAAACCUACUUCACCCCCUUCAUUAAAGAUACGGACCAAAACUCCAUGGUGUUAAGAAAAUAUCAGUAUCAAAACUGAUGAUUGAAUUAGUAUGAAUUCCAAAACCAACCUGGACAGCUUCAUUGCUGGCAGUCCUAGUCCAUAAUGCGAGCUUAUCCCCUCUCUGACGGACACUAGCAACAAUUCCACAGAUGUCGUCGGUUUCAUCAAACUGCUCUCCAAUAAGAGCCAUCAACUGCAUGUUCAAAUAGAUAAGCACUCCUUCAAUAGAUACUUCUCAGGUAAGAUCAAGCUAAUCUAUGGAAGAACUUCCUAGCACCUGAACAAUUGAAAUAAGAUUAAGAAAGAUGUACCGUUUCAAGCCACAUGGUCUCAAAGGUUGCCUUUCUGUUGCAUGGGACAGUCCACUUGCCACCAUUUGCACACUCCGGGUCCUCCCAUUUUGGCUCCACUCCAGCCUUGAAUAGAUGAAAAUCCGCAUUCCCACUCAACUUGCUUGGGCGGAAAAUCUGAUCGUACAAGCUACAGCAAGAAAGAAGAGAUUUAUAAGUUCACAGAUUCCAGGCAACCAAAUUAAUAGGUAUCUAGGGUAAAAUAGCGAUAUAAAUAGAAGUUUAACAUUACAUAGAUAGAAGUUUAACAUUACAUAAAUAGAAGUUGCUGUGUAAGUACUACCAAUAGAUAUUGCUAAUUAGUUAAGGCUAAAACUAAAGAGUAAUGUUAACUCUUUCUAUAUGUGACAAGGGUCUAAUGCAAGCCAGCAAGUAUCUUAUGAUACCUUUUACUAAUGAAACGGUGACAUCAACAGAAGCAAACUAGAGAAGAGAGUCAUUCUCUAUAUCCAACAUGCCAAUAUGCUCAAACUAGGAUUAACAUAGUAGAAUUAUCAACAUUUUAUUCAUUAUAGUUCACCGUGGAAAUUUUAACUGACAUACCAACUCAUUAACUACAAGGAUAAAUCUCCCCGCUCUGAUAGAUAUUGUCCAACCUCCACUGCAAAUAUACUUCAUCACUCGCUAUAUUAACAACUCUAGCACCACAUCAUCACUAAAAACGGGACAGCUUAGGUGAAAAAUCAGCCAAGCACAAUCAGCACUCAGGCAACUAAUCCGACACAGACAGCAGAUAAUAAUAUCAGGAACAGACAACAAACAGAUUUAUUAUCAUCUAAUCGUUUCAGAUUUCCUCGGCGCUAAGGCAACCUAGAACCCAAUCUACCCAGCAGAUAAUUCCCACCGCCAUAUGACCACCUAUAUCACACACAAAAACAGAUGAACAGGAACUACCACGGCAUCCAGAUCAGAUCCGAGCGGUACGGAUCCGGAAGGGGCGUGAUAGAAGAGGGGAGGCGCCCGCGGCGGCGUCCACGUACCUCCAGAACUCCUCGACGGUGUCGAAGGUGUAGGCCUUCUUGAGGGAGGUGCCCCACGCAGCGCCGGGCUUGGGCUUCGACUGGAUGUCGUACCAGAAGGUCCACUGCCGGUGCAGCUUGUGCGGCCCCUUCGCCUCCGCCGCGGCGCCGCCCUCGGUCGCCGCCACCUCCGGGGUCGUCGCCGCCACAGCCGCCGGCGCAGUCUCAACCUCCGCCAUGUCGCGCCGCCGCCGCCGCCGCCGCUUUUCGAGGGUUUUUUGGGGGGAGGGGGGGAGGGGUGGGGAGAGAAGAUACGAGAGAGAAGAGAUAGAGAGAGGUGUUGCGGCUCUGUCGAGAGACGUGAAGGAAUACGGAAGAAGGCUUCGGGCCUUUUGGGGAGUGUGAGAGUCGGCCGGCGUGGGGUGGGUGGGUUGCAGAGGCGUGCGCGUUUUUGACCGGGCUCCGGCCCAGUUUACGUUGAAUUGCAUCGAACAUUUUCUUCAGCUCGCUUACAGCUUCAUACUAGGGAUUACACAGGGAGUUGAUUCCCUAAAAAAUGCGCCUGAGCAACAGUUAACUGACAUGAAUACAGAAUACAUCACAUACACUGAAUGCUCGGAGCAUAAGUACCAUGACAGAGAAUACAACACGCACACUGGAAGGUACUUGAAAUUCGAACAGAAAGCAAUGUGGCGUUAAAAACCAUUAUAGGGUUAUUACCAAAUUACAGCAAUACUUUUACAAGAGAUGUACAGAACCUUUUCAUGACCUCAAAUUGUCAUGCAGGUGGACAAUUACCACUCGUUGGGUAACUGGUUACAGUGACCCCAUCUGUGUAGUAUCACCUAAAUAUUAUACACCCUAGCCUAAAAUUGCCAAGGCUCAUACUUGAGCUUUUGCUAUUGCCGUUCAAUUUUCGAUGGACCACAAAAGGAAAAGUACAGGGGUAUGAGAACAUAUCAAUUUUCCUAAAACGAGAAGAAUGGGCACCAUCUAUGUAUCGUGCUUGAGUAUCAAAAGGCCCUAUUCAAGCUAAGUUUCUUGUGGUUGAACAAAACGGUGGUUGCACUGUAUUUUUUUUUUUAUGUGCUGACUUUCUCCUGGUCCUCAGAAAACUGCAAGUGUUGUAUCCUGUAUGGUUACAAAUCAUGGAAGAGACGCCUAAUUUGUUCAACAGUGGCAGGCAUCAGCGUGACAGGACACCUUUUAUGCUGUAGCACAAGACAAUGCCAUAUAAGCUGAUGAUGGACAGACAAUGUGGCUGAAAUAUAUUAUAUCUGUAUCUGAUAUGGUAGAACCCACCUGAGACACGGACUUGAAUAUGCAACUGUAGCAAAAAACAAAACCAGAAACAGAGAGAACAGAGGGGUUGGCGCGCUUCUGGCAGCACAGGGGGCACAGUGUCUUGUCAGAUGGCAAGGGAAUCCCAUCUUUGGCAACCUAAUAAAAAUGUUGCAGACCCAUAUGAGUUUGUAAUCAUGAACUAAGAUUUCGUUAUUUAACAGUUCAACACAAAAUAUAUGGACUAUAGAGAAAACAACACAUUUCAGAAUACUUGCAAAAUCACGGGUUGACUAUGUCACAAGAGAAUGGUUUCAGCUCUUUGCAAGCAAGCGUAGAAUAAAUAGAUAUACCUUUGGAGUUGGUGGCGGAGGGGGCGGUGGAUAUACAGUCGGAGCUGACAUUCUUUCUUCAGCAGAUUGGUACCACCACUCCAUCAUCUAAGGUAAGAUUACCAAAAGGAGAACAUUAAGUACAGUUCUGUAAUUGAAAUCAUGCUUUUUCAUAUGGAGGUCUAACACAGGGAUAGAACUAAUCAACUAAUAGUCCAUCUAGAUGUGUAAAAAAGUUUGCAAACAUCAUCAAGUAAGGACUUUGAUUUCUUAGUCAUUUCAAUAUUCAACAGGUUUAAGGAUGCCUUCUAGGAAUUAUUUCUCACAUUAGUUUCAAAUCAAAGUAUUUAUAAAAUAAAUACAAAACAUUCUAAAUCAGCAGUCUGCCUGUAAGAAAAUAUUCGAAGUCGUGAGAGAACAUUAAAGAUAGGUUCUCUGUGACAGGAACUUGCAGAACAGACCUUGAAAAAGAAGACUGCAGCAAUUAAACCUGUUUGUGCAUAAUCUAGAGUUGUGUACAUACAACUAAGGAACACCCGUUGCACAGCCUGCAGAGGUCAUACAAAAAAGUUCUUGUCACGAGUUAGGACUCAAAAAUUCAUACGUGAAACCAAUACGGCUAAUGAGUACCAUUCGUCCUCUUGUACCUUGAGCCAUGGUGGACCACGAAGUCUCUCAAGUUCACGAUUUCUAAUCCUUGAUAUCCUAGAAGAUGAAUCCAUCUUAUUCAGAUGAUGAAAGACAAUAUAUUAGGCACAUUAUCAUAUCAAUAAAUGGAAGUGGAAAUGUAUUUGCCCACUGAUUAGUGCUUCCAAUGAUUAAAAAAGGUUUUUGGUAGGAAAAAAAGGUGAUUAAAAAAGGGUGCCACGUGAUAUGAAAAAACAUGUUGGUAAAUAUGCAAUGAUGAGAUUCUAAAUAUGCCUCUGCAUAAUUUGAUAAUAAAUACACCAAUAAAAAGAAAGUGUGAAGCACAAUACCAGCUCUUGUCCAGUAGCACGACAAACGUGAAGCCCUAGCACAUGCAGUGCUGGACUAUAAAAAGCAGUGGCAUCCAACAGAUACAGCAGCUGGUAUGCAAACGAGAAACCUGCAAAACAAGGAUGCCAUUGCCAUAUGUGAAACUCUACUGCCCACCUGAUGAAACAAACAAGCAGGCAUUGCAUAAUUCUUUUGAUUACAUGAAACACAAAUGAAAUUGGGUUAUACUGGACAAAUAGACCAAAAAACACUAGCAAUGCAAAACUAAAAUGACAAGAUCACAAGAGUCAAGAAAAGGAUUACUCUUGGCAAAAAAAAGUCAAGAAAGGAUGAUACAAAGGAAGAACUGAUUGUGAUUCUUUUUACUGGUGCUUCAUAACAAUAAUAUGGAAUAAUCAGCUCCUUGAAGUGAAUAAAGACAGAACAACACAGAAAUUACUUAUAACUUAUACUGGAUAAAGAUCCAUGGGAGUAGCUGGUAAACAAACCUUCAUUAGUUGCAUGAAUCCAUGGAUAGCAAACACCUAUGAGUGAGGCAAAGUUCUUCUUAAAACGUGUCAAGUUUGACACUUCAUCGGUUGUAGGGUCAUUCUGUGCUUGAGAAGUCUGCUCCUGAUCUAAUACAAAGCCAGCUUCAUCAAACCUCACAUCAUCCUGACCCCAAAGAGUUGCCUGCAACCUGGCUUCCCUUUCUUUAUUGUAUAUAGACUGCAACUUUGACUUAAAGUAUGGCAAAACAACCUACAAUACAUCAGCAAAAGUUCAGAAUAAAGAGGAGAAAUAUUCCAUUAUUAUAUAAAGGAAAAUUUUGGUACACAUUGAUUUAUAUCAAAAGUUCAAUAUACAUAGUAUCUAAUUAUCUUAGACACAAUUCAAGUUUUAGACGGUUACAUUUUGGGAAUGGCACAAUACAUGGAGUCAUGGACUACUGAAAUCAGAAAUUAACAUUUCCAAACAAAAAAAGAUAAAACAGGAAGGCAUUUUUUAAAAAAAAUUAUUCAUAAGGUAAUUUCUACUGAGCAGUGUUAAAUGGGCACAGGUGUGGAUGUGAGUGUCUGAUCUGGCAGAUUUUUUUGGGACACGCCAAAAGCCAUGUGGAAUCCGACAUGAGUGAAGGGUGUCUGACUCAGAAAAAAUAAGAAAAAGGGUGUCUGGAUAAUACUGCUACUUAAUUGCAUCCCCAAUAUGUCUUGAAGCAUGACAUGAACCAAUUAUCAAAAAUAAAACGUAUGAAGAAAUAAGAAUAUUAUAUAUCCUUAUAGCAGCUGGGUAACACAUGAAACAAUUGUGCCACAUAUAUCACAAUAAACUAACAAGAAGAUUGAAAACUGAAAGUUAGUAAUACAGUAACCGCAUUAGGGCCAUAACUAGGGCAAAAGGCAUUUCUGAUAUACAUACCGUAUAACUAGUUGGUUGUUAUAGUAGAAGAAAUAAGCUCAAUCUUAAUAAGAAACUCAUGGUGCAAACCAGAAUAGAAAUAUCUCAUGAGUCCAGAAAUUCAAGUCAUGGUACUGACUCUAGUUCAUGUGGUUUUGGAUGUACCAAUUUUGGCAAUUCUUUUUAUUGAGGUAGCUAAGUAGAAAAGGUAAAUUAUGUUUCCCCUGGGAACGAAAAACAAAGCAGACAGAAAACUGCAGUGCGCAAGUAAAAUUACGGCCAUCCUACCAAAAAAACGACCGAGAGAAUUUUCUGACGCUUCAUUAGUGCAGAAUCAUAGACUUUGUCACUGGAUUCUGUACCAGGACUCUUCUUCACUGAAACCUUAACAGGUCUCCUCCUGAGACCAUAUAAUGACUCUGAAAAGGAACCAUCUGAAAGGAAACAAUUCAGAACAGUUAAAAUAAAUGCAAUUAAAAUUUGGGAUAUCAGAGCUCAAGCUUGCUUAGUUAAGCUUGUCCAUUUGACUAGUUUGGUAUAUUUCACAUACAUAAGUAGAUUAGAGUAAGUUAACAGAGUACUCGGCAGUUAGGCUUAGUGUUUGGUUUGGCAAUAAGUUGGCCCAAGCAUGGUCACUUUCUAUUCUAUUAAACAAAUAAACCUGUACGGCUGGAUGGUACCAUUCCAAUAACCUAUGGUGGUAUGUAAAAUAUGAGAUAGAUAUGGUGAUAGUGAUGCAAGUAUAAACAUAAAGAAUGAUGGUUCGCUCUAUUGAGAUAUCAGUAUAUUGGUGCAUGAAAUUUCUUUUCCCAAUAAGCUGCAUCCAAGGGGGUUUGCUACAGAAAACAAGAGGCUCAGAAUCAACAUUGCAAUGCUUCAUUCACUUAGUUUCCUGCAUUCCAAUUUCAUUCCUUACAAGCAUCCUAAACAAAUUAAUUCUUUUAUGCAGAAAGAGUCUUAUGGUACAGCAACGACGAACCUGUUGUCCGUAGACUGUGAGACUCAAGGACGCCCAUUAACAAAGCAAAGAAUUCGUCUUCAUAAUCUAAAACUUUGUGAAGCAAUGGCCUUCUUAGUGCAAAAACCUGCAAGUACACAAGUUAAUCAUAAUCCACAUAAGUGGUGAAACAAACUUUCACGAAAUGCAUAGAUGUCAGAUCUGGAGGAGAGAACGUCAAUAAGAAAUGGAGUUAUCUCCAUAAAAGUUUUUGGAGGGUACUCUUAUGCUUCCCUUACUAAGGUACUUAGGCAGCUUUGCGCGAUCAGACAUAAUGAGCUAACCCGACAUUUUGUAGAAUACUCACUUCAUAUAAAUUGAAGUAUCUGACUAGUUUUGUAAAGAAAAAAAAUGUUGAAAUAUAACUUAAAAUAAGCACAAUUUUUACCACUUUAUUAAAAUACAACGAACUAUCAGUUGAGCGUAAUGGGUAACAGGAAGGAAAAGUAAUAGCAUGUGCAGCAAGGAAAUAUAAGUAAAUUGCCUUUCCCCAAAAAUAAUAAAUUGACUUAAGAGCAACUCCAGCAAUCUCCUAACACCACUACCAAUACCAAAAAAGGGUCAUUAUUAGGGUUUGGACUGCUCUGACAGACUCCCAAUAUGGCUCCCAAAAACCAGCCCCCCAAUUCCAAAAUAAAGGGAGAACAUCCCCCCUCACAAUGCCUCCUCCCAAUCCUUUCCUGCUGUAGGGGGUCCAAUUAUUGGGGUGAGAUUAUUUGGGGACUGCUGCAGCACCUCUCCCAAUAAUCCUGAAAACAGUAGGGCAUUGUGGCCCUCCUAAUACCACCUUAUUGGGAGACGGCUGGAGAUGCUCUAAGAUGUAUAUAUUAAUGAAGCAAUCAAAACAUUCUUAUAACAAGAUACAUGUUUACAUGCAUUAGCUUGCUAUGUACUAAUGCGCACAGGCAGAUGUCCAUAUCCUAUGUCCCAUUGCAGAUAUAUUUCUUAUGUCACAUGGUACACAGGUUUUCUUGCUAAAUAUGUUGACCCUAGAUGUGAUGGUUAGUCUCCAAAAAUUACAACACGCAAGAAGCCAGCUACACUAUCCAUAGUUCUCCACGGCACAUAGAAAUGCAGAGCAUCAUCAUGCUAUCAGCCAGCUCAAUGCCGCAGUCCCAUACCACUCACACAAACGAACUUACUCUGGGCCUGAUGGCCAGCCAAAAUGGGCUAACCUAUAUAAUCUGAUCUCAAGCUCAGCUUUGCACUUGCAAUUACAUCUAACGAACUAAAUCUUACCGAAUUCUCUUAAAGCUAGAUGGCAGGGCAACAAAAACAGUGAGUGAAACCACACACAGAAAAAGCGAAAAACUCCAUGAUCAUCCCCCCAAAGCUAGGAUCACUUCAAUGCGUCACUCCACACCGCGCAAUUCUAGCAUUGAUGGCGUCGGGGACACGCACGACCAAACAGCAUGCCACGAGACCCCCGGAAGCAGGCACGGGAUCUCAGGGAUUCGAUCCAAUCGGAGACGGGCUGGUAAGGGGAUGAGCCGGGAGGCGGUCGGUUUACCCCGAGCGAGUAGGUGAGCGCGGCGCGGAGGCUGGCGGGAAGCUGCUGCGCGGCCGACAUCUCGAAGAAGGUGGGCCGCGCGCCCUGCCCUCCCACCUGGAACAGCAUCGCGCCCCCCGCCGCCCGCGCUGCCUCCGGCGUUACGGGAGGGAGCUAGGGUUGGGCCCCGGAGCCCGGAGCCUAGAGCUCGGCUGGCGGAGGAGCUCCGCCGGCGGUGGUGGGCGCCGCCGCCGCCCGGUGUGUUAUCUGUUGGGAAGAGACAGUUGGGUGUUGGCUCGCGCGUCCACGGCGGUGAGGGGAACUCAACUGGGCGAGGAAAGGAGAGGAAAGCGGGGCGCAAAAGGGAAGGAGUGACGUAGAUGGGUGGGGAGAAGAGUGCGAGACGAGACGACCAGCAGCGAGCGAUUCGAGGAGAGGAGAAGAAGAAUCACGAGACGAGACGACGGAUCGGUCUGCCAGCAUGUGGCCCGGCCCGGAAAGUAUGGGCUGUACGGGCUGGCAAUCUCUCUUGUCACGUACCACGGCCCGUUGCGCGGCGGCAACUGGACACCGAUGCUACAGGGAAGUGGUGCUAAAGAAACGACGAUGCUAACGAGAAAGGAAAAAAAUAAAAUGCAUGGAUAGCCAUCGUAAUUGUUAGCGUGUUUCUGUUUAGCCAUCGUAUUUAAGAAAGUGUAAACCGCGAUCAUUAGACUCACUCGAGUGCGGCGAUACGGUCAUUGGCUGAUUAGUUAUACGUAUUUGGAUGACGUGGCGUAUGUUUGACUGAUGACUCAUGGUCCACCGUGUACAAAUCACAGAUGCCUUUUCAUCUAUAUUUAUUCAUUUAUCCCUUUUUCUCUCCUGGAUUUUUUUUCCAUCUACAAUCGUCCAUAACUAGCCCCCGUUCAUUAGCCCCAUUAUUUGUUACGCAGAUAAGAUCGGAGCAGUUCGUGACUUACGUUGGUGGCGGCGGUUAGUGAGCAACGACUCCCGUCCAUCAGAAGCUCGACCACGCUGCUUCUGUUGCUGGGCAUGGAUCCCGUCCGCCGGUCAGAGAAGGCUCCGCCUCCUAAUUACAGUAUGUGCACUUGAAUGCAUUUUGUUUAGCGACAGAAGAUUGCGUGUUUUUUCGAACGAAUUUUUUUUUUGAACGAAGAAGAUUGCGUGUUUUGGUUAUGUGUACAGCUAACCUAUCUACUUUGAACGCAAUUUGGAUUUUUCCUAUUGCCUCAUUUGCAAAGUAAGUCUCUUUUAAAUUGGAUGUGUUACUUGAUGUCCUAGGUGAUCGUAAUGACUCAUUCAGUGUACAAAUAUUUUAUGGAGGGAGCAAUUCAUAAUUAUUUGUGUGCUUUUUUGCAAAAAAAAUAAAAACUUUAUCGGGUUAUGAUGGACGCCGCAUCAUUCAAAUACGUAUGGCUAGAGAGCUAAUGAUCAUAUCGAUCAAGUCAAGCAACUUCAAUGACCAUUAUUUACACUUUAAUAAGUAUAAUAGUCAAACUGAAACACACUAACAAUUACAAUGACCAUUCGUAUAUUUUACUCAAGAAAAAUAUUUUUAAAAAAAGAGAAAAGGAAAAAUGUAUAAUCCCCAAAAAUAGAAUAAUUCUGUUCCUGCCACAGUUGACCAAAGCUCUGCGGUCCGGAGUCGAAAAAGAAAAUCUCUAUGAUUCAAUGGUACUUUUAUAUUUAUUUGAGCUGCAGUUUUGAGUUUUUUGAAAAGAUGUCGCUACCUUUUUUUUCCCGAAAAACUAACACUAGCUUUCUAAAUAGAAGAUGUGUUUAGCUUUCUUAGUUAAAAAACUCAUAAAACUGAGUUCUCCAACUUUCCAAAGAAACUCGGAUUUUCUGGACUUACAGCUUUUCGGAAGGUGCACGAGAAAUUCACUAUUUGUUUGAGCUUCUAACUCUUCAUGCUGAGAGAAGCUGCCACGAAGUUUAAACAAGUUGUACAGGGAAUAGGCGACUCCUGUACAAGCAAAACUCGAGGUAAGAUCAGUGGCAGAGACCCUCCUCUGCGAUCGCCGGCCGAAAUCACUCGCACAGUAGAAGUAGAACACAGGAUAUAUAAGAGGUUGUCCCUAGCUUAAAAACGGUGGCCGGAGCCAAUGCCAUCGUCGAAGUUCUGGGAGUAGCUCUGCUGGUCGUAGCCGAAGCUCGCCGCGGCCCGGCCCGGCCUCCCGGCGCUGCUCCUCAGCCUGCACCGCAGCAGCCUCCUUAACAGCUGCCUCACCGGUGCCGCCGGCCGGCGGCGGCUCUGUGCAUGCGCAGGGACAGCAGUGUCACCAUCCUUUCUCCGUCUCCGGUCGAUCACACCGUUGCACCACUCGACGAAAUUCGCAGUGUUUUGCACCUGUCUCUGCAGCUUCUGAAAACCAUGUCCUAACGAAAACCUCCAAACGCUGCUGCUUUAUAAGCUCGGAUGGCCCGACCCACUGGCGCGCACUCACUGACGAACGCCAACGUUGAUGAAUGAUGAGGCCAUCCAGCAUCCACUACACGACGGAUCGUCGAUCGAUCCGUCCGGAUGAAAUGCAUGGUCCAGGCAAAUAAAAAGCCCAUUUCAGUCGUAUCUUUCCCGGCGUCACCGUCCUACAGUUGGAAAGAAAGAGAGUUACAGACCGGUCCACCCAACGAGAGAAGCAAAGCCUGUGCAGUGGCAGUGUCAAUUCGGGACGGCCGGAUGGCAAUGGCAUCCAUCUCGUGCGAACUGUAAAGGGAGGCUGCCAGCAGGCGACAGGGGUCGGCGGCGGCCUAGUGUCCUCCGUCCGUCCUGCCCUGCCCUGCCGACUGCGGGUGAUCGUCUGCUCAAACAUUUGACGUGCACCAGCUAGCCAGUACUGCUAAAAGCAAAAUCUCUAGAGCCGGCCAGUUGCUUGGAUGUGUUGUGAUGGAUUCGAUCAUCAGCGUGAUUGGAUGCAUGCUGAGCCUUUGCCGUUAUUAUUACAUUAUUACAUUGUUCCAAAUCACAACACAAUUAUCACAUCCGCAGGCGUCCUGUGUGGCAGACCAAGCAAGAGGCCGCCCAUAAUACCACCAGCACGGAUCAGAUUCAGAUCGAGCUUGACGGCAGUUGACGAGCCUGCUGGCUUUGUAGAAAACAUGCUGCAGCUUCACGACUGGAGCACCUGUGUUUAAUUUUUGUUUCUGUCAACGAUGUAUUAAACAAAAUGUUUAGAUAACCGGCGGCAUACGAAGAUCACAGUGCUCGGACUAAUCAUCACACGCAAGCAACGGGUAUCAGAAAGAAAUUUCUAAAACAUGCAUCUUUCUAUGUCACAUGCCCAAUGUUUCCAAGAAACAAAUAAGGGAUUGUAAUAUUGUAUCAUUUUAAUCUAACAAGUUGUAGAACAUGCACAUGAAUACAUCAAAGUUGUCAUAUACGAUCCGAACCGUGGUUGGUUUUAUGCAAACUAGCCCCUACAUUUGUCUGGUUUUAUGCAAAUAAGUCCCCUAUGUUCAAUCCCACUUUUUACACGUACAUAUGUUCUCUCUGGCUUCAUUUGAGCUCUUCUGCCCUUUCGUUUUUCCCCCCCUGGCGACGGCCAUUACAACACCUUAUUACUGGCCACCACUCAUGGAUUUGGACGGACCUGCUGCAAUGACAGCGUCACCGAUGUACACUUACCGGCACCGGAUUUUGGUGCACAGCUGCCUACUCCCUGUGACCGCGGGUCCGCGACCCCGCCUCCAUGGACGACGCAACCUCGCCCCAGUCUUGCUUUGUCAGCAGUUCGUUGUAGAUUUUCAUUUCAACCGGACUACCAAUAUUUUUGAUGAAAUAUUCAUGUUUAAGUCUAGAUUACCCGAUUCUUGUUUGGUUCAUUUUGUUCAUGGCUUGCAAAUUUAUUCGCAGAUGAAGUGGAUUAUCCCACGUUUAUCGGAGCACAUUCGUUCAUAGUUGAAGUGAAUUUCGUAUGCUAAAUUAUUCAGGUUGUAUACAUACUGAUUAUUUCAGUGAAAUUUGUUGGUCGUGUACGACUGAUAUAAACUUCAUUGUCUUCAAGCGGCCAAUCAGGUCACCUACUAAACCCUGAUGUGCACGUCCUCCACAUGAUUGUUAGACUAAAACAAAUAAAUUGCACCCACCAAUAUCAAGAAACAAAAACUGCACGCAUAAAGACUUAGAUAAGAAGGGAGACAAAGAUAGGGGUUAUAUGCAUAAAACUAUUCACGUCACCUGUCAUAGUGGCAAAAUACAUCUAUGUGACGUAUAUGUGACCGUACAUGCAAACAUGAUAUAUUUGACAAGUUAGUGCAUCUAUUUGCAUGUUUUACAACUUGUAAGACUAAAGUGAUACAACAAGUUGUUGUUGAUGGGUGGCGCAAUGGAACGACGAUCAACUAAUCAUCAGUCCAGAUACCUUUCUCGACCUUUUGGCUAAGAUCAAGUGUAGUAUCAGUCCAGAUACCUUUCUCGGCCUUUUGGCUAAGAUCAAGUGUAGUAUCUGUUCUUAUCAGUUUAAUAUCUGAUAUGUGAGGCCUCAUCCUCACAACGGUAUUAAAUUUAUUUUUUUAAGGGGGGAGUGCCUGGCAUGGUAGCUUGCUACUUGGGCUCUCAAGCGUCGCCCUUGCACUGUUGCUUGGACUUGGCGCACCCCAAAAAAAAUAAAAAUAAAAAAAAACCAAAAAAAAACUAAUCAUCAGUCCAGCACUAGCAAGCAAACAAUUUUGGAGCCGAGUCGGGCCUAUUUAGUUACUGGUCUUGGGCCUAUUCUUCCUCCACGCAUGUGUUUUUUUUUUUGAAAACCCUCCACGCAUGUGUUGCAUGGGGGCCUGUCAUCCAUCAGGCCCAGCCGCGACUGACCAUCCCGACUAAAUUCCAGCGCGAGGGGAGAAAAAAAGAGGAGAGGACGCAGCAGCGCCGCCGCCGUCGCACCACUCCGCAACAGCUCCUCAACCCUAAACCCUAGCGGCUCCGGCCAUGGCCGCCGCGUCACAGGCCGUAUCAGCACCUCCGUCCGCCGCCGCCCCCGCCCCCGCCCCGAACCCCGGCAAGCGCAAGACGCGGGCCAAGGGCAAGGGCAACAAGAACAAGGCGAAGAAGAAGCUCGCGCGCUCCGGCCAGGAUGACUCCAUCCACCGCCGCCGCAACAAGCCCAGCGCCAAGUUCCUCAAGCUGCUCCGGAAGCGGGCCCGCGACUACAACUCCGACGACGACGAGGAAGACGACGACCGGCAGCAGGAGCACCAGCCGAACCCACGCCGCCGCCGCCGUGACGAGGAGGAGGAGGAGGAGGAGGAUGAGGCCCUCUCCCACUCCGACCAGGAGGAGGAGGACGAGGAAGAAGAGGGUGUCUCCACCUCUGCCAUCACCAGGUUCGAGCAAGGCUGCAGGGCGUUCCGCGUAGCCUUCCUCAAGAUCAUGGCCAAAAAGCUCCCUGACGAUCCCCUGGUAAUUCUCACCAUUCGUUCCUUCCUUCAACAUAGAUUGUUGCAUUUCCCCCUUUCGUGAUUGAUGCAUAUGAGUGAGCACAAAAAUGAAAGAGAAGAAAAGAAGAAAAAUGUUAAGAAUCUCUGCUGAUGCCUUUCCCUCUCUGCGUAGGGUCCAAUUCUGUCAGCGCACAAGAAGUUGGUCGCUGCCAAGUUGGCCGAAGAGUUAGAGGAGCACAAGCCCAAGGGGGAGGCUAGAAAGGAGAAGCGAAUGGUAUGGCUCUCACCUCCCUUGCUCAUUAGGUGUGCACUCUCAUUGAAAUGUAUUUACUUAAGCCAUUAAUUUGCUCUGGUUUGGUGGGAAAAAAGGCAGCAGAGAAGGGCCAUGUCAUACCUGAAGAUCACUUGGACAGCAAAGAGAAGGAACUCAUCAAGGUUGCUACGAAGGGGGGUAAUGCACUGUUUCUAAUACCAUGUCGUUUUGAGUUUUGACUAUCUCUGGCUAGAAUUUUACCAUAAUCACUGUGUUUCUGACAAUUGUAUCUUUUUCCUUGAAUUAUCCGGCUGCUGUUGACUCAGUUGUCAGGCUGUUCAAUGCGGUAAGCACACUGAUCUUAUCUCAAUCUCAAAGUACAUGUAGCGUGGCAAGUUACUUUUCUAAGUUGAAACGAAAUGGGCUGCCAUUUACUUCAUCUCAAGUCUAUUCUUUGCUUCCUUAAUUGUUUUGGGACAAUUACAUGAAAGUAGGUAGUAAUAUUCUAGGUCUUAGGAGAGUGAAUCUUCUAUUUCUUUCUGAGCCAUUUACAUCCACCUCAAGUCUAUUCUUGCUUCCUUAACUGAUUUGGGUGUUCAUCAAUUAUAUAAUAGUGGGUAAUAUGCUAAAUCUUAGGACAGAGAACCCUCUAUUUCUUUGUGAAGCACAACGUUUUAUGUCCACUCCAUGUUUGUUCAACAGAUACAAUUGCUUGGUCUAAUGUCCAAAAGUGGCUUCACUUAUUACGUACUAAAUGAUAGUGGAAAACAAUUUAUAUGCAUGUGAAUAAUUUUUGCACUUGAUGGGCUGAUAGUUAUUGGGAUUGCCUUUUCUUUCCAGGUGAGCAAGGCACAGAAGCCUCGGAAAGAUUUGAACCCAUCAAGAACUAAAGAUGCCAAAGGUAUAUUUUCACUUUUUCAUGCUAGUAUGAUGUAGCCAUUCUUCCCCUGUUAUUUGUGAAUUACUUUGUUCAUUGUUGUAUUCUAUAUGUCUGCUAAAACUACAAUUUUUCUUGGCCAUCUAGAGAAUGUUGGCUAGUGUGUUUCUUAGCUUCUUAUAGGCUUUUAGUUAUUUUUGUUUAUUAUUAUGGAUAUCCUAAUUAAUUUUGUUACACUUUUAAUUAAUUAAGAAUAAUGUCUAACAUGCAAAGUUCCUCCCCAAACACUUACUAGAGGGUGACUUUGUUUACACGAACAUCAUGUAUGACUAGUAGAAUAAUGGUGCCUGGACUGCUUCUGCAAUUUUUUGUUCUAUACAUUCUGGUUAGACAUCAUACCAAACUGAUCAGCAGGAGCAUGACAAGCCAUAUUAGUUAAUGGUACGAUCUUAGGUUAGUCAAACGUGAAAACAAUCAACUGUUGUUUUGCUCUAUGUACCCAACUAACAAAGCUCAACUUGGCAAAUGGGUCAUAUCUUUUGUGGUUUUGAAUUAUUAAAGAGUGAGCUGGUCUACACUCGGGUAAGCCCUUAUCUAAUUAGGUAUCAUGUGGAGCUCCAAAUCUUUAGCAGUCCAGGGCUUUGUUAGCUAAACAUAUAAAACUCAAAACAAUUGAUGGUCUGCUGAAUAUGACCUCUUGAUUUAUGAUUCUAUGAAUGUAAGCAGAUGCACACUUGUUUGAUAUUUUGCUCAAGAACAUACAGAGGUACAAACAAUGGCAGCAUCUGCUGCCUUUCAUUGCAGUGCAAGACGAUGCUAUAUUAAACUAAUGAUGUGUGUGUGUUAUGUUUAUUUUUAUGCAUUUCAUUUUGAGACACAUCAGGCACUCUACAAUGAUUUCCAAAUAUUCUGAAAGAUUUCCUGAUAAUCCUGGCAGUUUUAGCAAAAGAAAGGAAAAACACCUUCCUCGCGGAAUUGGAGAUGCCAUCACAUCAAGAUAAAAAGAGCCAGGCACCUUCAAAUUUCUCUAAGGUACCAGCUGCUAAAUAUUUCUUGGUUGACUCCUUAUGCUCAUAACAUGCCACUGGUGUCUCAGUGCCAUCCUUAAGUGAGCGGCAUAACUGUAGAACCUGCAUUUAUUCCUUGGAAGUUGGUAUUUUGCAAUAUUCUCUUUUACUUUAAAGAGUCACCUUCCUAGCUAAAAAAAAUCACCUUCCUAGCUUAAAAAUUUAUAUGUUUCUGGUGAUAGUAUGAACUCUCAUAUCUACAAAGUCAAUUUAGUGCAACUCCUCAGGGUCAUAUCUGCUGCGCUUUGUUUUUGCUUGGAAAACAGUAUUGCAUGCUAAAUUUGAUACAUUAUUUUCUAAAAUUAACCAAGAGAAUGUCUUCAGAGAUCAAAAUUCACAUGGCAUUUAUUACAGAGAACACACCACACCUUUCUGCAGUCAGUUAUAUAUAUAUGGGUUGAUUCUUGGGAAAAUAUUUCAUACUGUAACUUGACAUGAAGUUUCAACCAAUGUCUAUAGCGCACUACCUAUUAUUCAAAUUGGUAUUGUGAAGCACAAACACAUUGUACACUCCCUGUUCUGUUGAAGUUUGCGUUGAGAUGAGGGGUUUUGCCAUGUGGCAUAUGGAGAUGAGGAGAUUUUUAGUAGCAAAAUUUGUAUCAAGUACCAAACACAACCUCUCCUGAAAGUAUAUAAGCCAUGUAACCCAUAGUUAUUAAGUGGGUUUUUUGAAGCUAACUAACUUGCUAGUCCACUGUUUGGGCAAGUUCAUUUGGAUAAGGGUAACCACACUUAAUCAAUUUUCCAAAAGGUGGCUACUUAGGUGCUGGGUUUUUUAGAUGACUGCACUUACCAAAGCUUAGAUGGUCAUGCGCAUGGUUAAACCUCAUAUUUCACUAACUUUCACUGAGCAGAUUAAUUAUGGUUUAAGAAACUGUAGUACGGUUUGUUUGGUAAUGGUUUGCUAUUCAAAAUCAUAACCUAAAGAUAUGUUAUUGGCAUGCCUCAUGGCAAGAGUGACACGGCCAGGCAGGAACUGGAAAAGUUGCGCCCUAGGGUUUUCUUGAUCUUCUUAACAAUAAAUAUAGAUGUCAGGUGAAAAUUUUGCUUUCACAGAUUUAAGAGUCACAUGAUGUGUAGUUACUCUUAGCCUAAUACUAGCUGUCUGCUCAACGUCAGAAUAAAAUCUUAAUGCAAUGUUUGUUUUUAAGUGAAUCUUAAUUCCUGGACCUCUAUGUGGCUUGGAACUUCUCAUAAUUGAUCUGCCUUUUCUAGCAUACUGGCAAAGAUGAAGAUGAGCCAGCAUGGGCACCCUUGCGUGACACAUACAUGCUUGGUUCUAAAUUAAAGGACUGGGAUAAAAUGAAGGUACCGUCUUGUGAUUUAUGUAUAUACACAUUUUUUCCAAUUUGGCAUCAGUGCAACACUGAUAAUUUAAAUAUGUUAACUGACUUUGCCCUGUAGAUCUAAUUGACUUCUUUUGUUUCAUGAGAGUAGGAUUCUGCUGCAGCGAGUGGGCAAGCAGAGGUUCCUUUAGGUGACUCUUCAGACGAGGAAUAGGAAUACAAUCUGUUUAGUCGAAGCCAAACUAGAGAUUGAUUAUGUUGAUGUAUUCCGUGCUCAUUGCUUGUAAAGCGAGUUGAGAUGGGUUCUGGAUGUUCAAAUUAUCAAAUUCGGACGCCCUCUCCUUUUUAUGCCUUUUCUUUUCAUUGCAUUGCAUUAGCUCUAAAUAUAUAGUAUACCUUGACUAUAUGAGUACUCCAUAGAUGCAUUUGUUUGGACGUUUGGGAUGGGUGGUCGCAUUCAGCGGUCUAUUUGAUAUGCCUGCCUGCUGCUGUUGAGCUGCCUGUGGAAAAGCAGGCAUUUGGCUUAAAAUUCAGUGAAAUUUGGGACAGCCUGAUAACAAUGUCUAGCUUGCAAAAAGGUUACGCGAUUGCUAACUAAAUCGCAGAAUCAUUACAGUGCAUAAAUCACAAACUAGAUUAUGCAACGAGAGCUUCGAUCAGCUUUCAGUGGCCCAUGCAAAUAAAUCAAAUUAGAACCGUGCCGCUCCAAUUGCCAACGGCCAGCAGAUUCACAGUAGCUAACUAGCUAGUAGAACAAAUUAAAGAAGAAGCGAGUCGAUCAUUUUACAGUAACCGGAUGAGCCAGCUAGCUAUCUAUUCCCUUUUCCAAAUUGCAGUUCGUUUUGGGCUUUUUGAGGUUCAUACAUAUUAUUAUACAUUUACUAUAUCUAGAUGUAUAAUAAUAUCCAUGAAUUUAGAAAAGUCAAAAUAACCUACAAUUUGAAAGCGGUGGGGGUAGUUAAUUACUAGAUAGUGUUUGGUUCAAGGAGUGGUAACGCAAACAUAAAUGUAAUCAAAUCACGGGGGAAUUAGCACUAGAAUAUGCGAUUACGUUUUCUGUUUGGUUCAAUUAAGGUAACGGUAUCGCAAAGUAUUAUGAGGGAAGCGAUGCGAUUAUAGCCGGAGACGAGCGGAAUCCGAUUUCAAUAGGCUGGUAUCCAAUUGCAGCGUACGGACCAAACCAAAACAAACGCCUGUAACGCUACUUGUUAUCACUUACAUUCGGUGAAAGAUAGGAGUCACUGAGCUUAGUUACACACGGAAUAACUGAAAAGUGGUGGCCGCCGGAGCAGCCGAUGCCGUCAUCGAAGUUCUGCGAGUAGCUCUGCAGGUCGUACCCGAACGACCUCACCGCGGCCCGACGCCUCGGCCGCGUCGCUCCUCUCUUCCAUGUGGACCUCAUCAGCCUCGACAGCAGCUGCUUCACUGCCGCCGUCGACCAUCUUCCGGCUGCUGCAUGGCGGCCGGUGUGCAGGCCCAGCAGAGACGCCAUGACCCUACGACGAAUUUCUACGUCCUGCAAAGCGCCGUCAGCAAAGAAAAAGGAUUUACUUCAAAAAAGAAAAAGAAAAAGAAAAAAGGAAGCGCACUAACGUCAAAGCAAAAUAUCUAGAUGAGAGCAAGCAAGCUGCUAUUUGCAUGCAUGUGACGGUGGAGUCAUCACCUGAUCGGAUGAUCGACAGAUCACACGAAAAGGACGGCCGUUGGUGAUGGCGGUAUGGGGAUAAUCAUCCGAGUCAAUCAUCCGAGUCAUUGUGGUCCAUCUAUGAGUUGGCCGUUUGGGCUUUUGAGCUUUUGCCUUCCCUCAUACUUGAGCUUUUGCUGAUGGCGCUACCUUUUUGCUUGAGUUGAAAUCUAGCUUUAACUUCGCCACAAAGAAAAAUUAUUCUGAGUGAUUUGAUACAAACUAUAUAUAUAUUUUGGAAUCAUCAGAUUCAAAAUUAAAGUUCCCAUAGGAUUCCUUCUCCACUUUUGUUUAUAAAGACAGCCUUACAAUGCAUGAAACAUGAGAAAAAUACAAGUGAAGAUUCUUUCAGUCAAAUAAAUCGACAAAAAAGCGAAUACCUGUCAGUCUAACCGUACUCGUACGCGAACAUGCAUGUCACGCCAGCUAAAAAGAAUCACACAACUUGGUGUUUCUACACUAGCGCUGGGAGGUUGCAAACACUCACAGAUCGAUCACGUGAAACACAUUUGGUUAAUUCGGUUGAUGACAUUCACGUUUAGUUUCUUGUGACUUGUGAGCUGAAGAACAAUUGCCUGGCCUCCCGGCCAUCUAGUUUCAGCGACUUUCACCUAUCUCCCAAAAACCUAAAAGCAGCCACAGAUAGUUUGGCGGGUAGGUGAACAAUUUGCCUACAGGUUUGGCACAUUCUUAAACCAGGAAUCAGUUUCCAACAGCUGACAAAGAAGCUCAUUCUGCGUGCUGACUGAUGGCAGCAAAUUUACAGUAGCCAGCUACAAAGAAGAAAAGCGAGUAGUCAUUUACAGUAACUGGACGAGCCAGCUAUCUAGCUAUCUAGCUUAGCUAAUGACCGAGAAGCACUGAACUAGCUACACACGGCGGAAUCACUGAAAGCGGUGGCCGGAGGAGGCGAGGCCGUCGUCGAAGUUCUGGGAGUAGCUCUGCAGGUCGUACCCGAACUUCACUGCAGGCCGCCUCGGCCGCCCCGCGCUUCUCCUCCAUGUGGACCUCAGCCUCGACAGCAGCUGCUUCGCCGCCGCCGAGGCCACCGACGACCGCUCGCCGCUCCUGCCGUCGACCCUUCUCCGGCUGCCGCCGGUGUACAGGCCCAACCGAGACGCCAUGAUCCUCUCUCGAUCGCUCGUAGUAGCGCUGUCACGACUGAAAUCUCACAGCGGAGCUAAUAAUAAUUAGGCACCAGGACGCUCUUGACUCCUGUCUCACAGGCGCGUGCAGCUUCUCAGAGACCUUUGCCUGGAUGAUCGAUGCCUGCCGUGCCGCUGCUUUUAUAGGCUGCGACCGGAUCGGAAUGAAUCGGAUAGGGUUCCUGCUGUCGAGGUCGCCGGCCGGGCCCACCGGCACGCACGCACUGAGUCACUAACGCACAGGGCCACGACGGCAUCCACCAGGAUGGAUUCUCGAUCGGCUGGGCAAAAGCCGAUUUCAGGCCUCUUUUACGGCGUCGCCUUCAGUCAGAAAAGAAAAGAAAGGUGACCACCAACUACCAACCUAUCGAGCUGAAUUCGGAUGCUGCCCAGCCCAGCCCAGUCAUCAACUCAUCAUGCGUAGGAUCGAUGAACAUGGGAGCAGAGAAGGUUCAGAGGUUCAUGAUUUCAUCUACCCCUACAAGGCUAAAACGAAUUUUGCAAAGCGCCGUCGUCAGAAAAGAGAAAGCAAGCGCACUAACGUCAAAGCAAAAAUCUCUAGCUGAGAGAGGAAGCUGCUAUUUGCGUGCAUGUGAUGGUGUAGUCAUCGCCUGAUGGGAUGAUGGGCAGUUGGUGGUGGCGAUAUGGGGAUCGGGGUCCUACAAAUCAUCCGAUCCGAGUCAUCGUGGUCCAAGUAUGACUUGGCCGUUUUGGCUUUUGCCCCCAUCCGAUCUCGAGAUUUUGCUGAUGGCGCUCCCUUUUGCUUGUGUUUAGAUCGAUCAGUAGCUUUAACUUCGCUACUAAGAAAAAUUUGGAGUGAUUUGAUACAAACUAUUCCUUCUUCUUCUUUGGAAUCAGAAUCAAAAGUUCUCAUAGCAGGAUGCAGGAAUGUAAAAACGUUGAGAGAAUCUAGUAGCAAAAACACAAGUUACGGUACUGAGAAACAUGAGAAGAAUUGAAGUUUCUACACUUGCUGAUGCAAACGUACACUCACAGCUCGACGGUUGCACCGGGACCUAGGAUCGAUCACGUGAAAAACAUUCGGUUCGGUUCACGUACGUUUACCUCCCAAGAAAUCCACAAGCAGACGCAGAUACUUUGGCCGGCGGGGAAGAUGAACAACUUGCAUUGGCUGCAGGUGCGGCACAUGCGUAGUAACUAGUAGUAAGCCAGAAAUCAUAACAAAACCACAUGCAGACAGAAGCGACCAUUCCUUUCCAAGUUUGCAAACCCAGAAGCUGAACAACAAACAAAGCACCAACACAAUCACUUUGUGUUUUGCACACAUAAUUACAAAACCAUUCUGCGUGUUGACUGAUGGUGGAUUUACAUUAUCUAACUACUCCGUACAAAGAAGAGAAGCGAGUCAAUUACAGGAACUGCAUGCCGAACUGGAUGUGGCCGCUAGCUAAUCACCGGCCGGGAAUACAAUCACUGAGCGAGCUAGUUACACGGGAUCACUGAAAGCGUGUGGCCGGAGGAGCCGAGGCCAUCGUCGAAGUUUUGGGAGUAGCUGUGCAGGUCGUACCCGAACGACCUCACCGCGGCCCGCCUCGGCCGCGCCGUGCUUCUCUGCCUCCACGUGGACCGCAGCCUCGACAGGAGCUGCUUCGCCGCCGCCGCCGCCGCCGACCGCCGGCAGUGGCCCCUCCUCCGGCUGCCGCCGGUGUACGUGCCCAGCUGAGACGCCAUCCUGUCCCGAUCGCUCACAGCUUAGAUGAGCCGCAGUAGCACGCUUGUGUGCCUCGUGUCUGAACUCUAUGCCUCUCUGACCCUGCAGCUGCGAACUUCUGAAUCACACCUUUGUCUCCGCUGGACGACGGCUGCCGUGCUGCGUAUUUUAUAAGCUCGAGCGCUCGACGGACCGAUUGGAUGGGAAUCCGAUGCAUUGGGCCGGUUCCUUCGUUACCAGAGAGCCGACGACGUGCCAACGUCGCCGGCCGGGCCCACUGACGCUGACGCACCGAGUCACUCACGUACGGGUACAGCCAGGGCGCCGGUGGCAUCCACUACGCGAGUCGGAUUCCCGAUCCGAAUGGUUUUCCAGGCAAAAAAAACCGAUUCCGGGGGGCAUCUUUUUUGGGCGUCGCCCGCCAUCAGCCAGAAAAGAGGCUUGCUUGGCGACAGCCGGCAAAUGGCGACGGGGUGUGGGCGUGCGGCGUAACGGGAGGUCGGCAAAGCAGAGGAGCGAUAGGGUCGGCUCCUCCGUGUCCUGCCCGAGGGAUCAUGUCCGAAACGAAAACCGACCGGCAGUUGGGCACGGCCUGUUCCAUCCAUGUGUGGAGCUGUAGGCAGGCCAACGAGGCCAUGCGCACGCAAGUAGCGUGCGGGAACGUGUGGAAUGUCACACAUGCACAAUGCGUUCGCCCGCAUGCAUAAAUAGCGCCGAUCGACCAUGGCAUCUCACGGUCCUCAUGGAACGGGAGGUGGUAAUGGAUCGUAGCCAUUAUGUUUCCUUCACAAUUUAACUCAGUUCUAUCCAUAUUUAGCUCAAAAUUAUAUAGUAUUUCGAUCCGAUUUUUAUUAAACCUAAUCUUUAAAUUUGUUAGACUAAAUUAGAAUGCCCUUUACCACCUAGGGAUACGAUGCCCCGCUGCAGAUCGGCUGCACAAUUCGUUUUCCUUUAGUCAGCUGAUAGCUGAAAGCUUUAUAACAAGAGAAUAGCUGCGUGCAUAUUUUUGCAGAGGCUGGAGAUACAUCUCUAUUUUCUGAAAGAAAAUCUAUGUUGUGCAUAAUACUUAUAUGUGCUUAGGAGGUGAAAACAUGGUCUUGUCCAGUCAUCAUUCGUUGAGUCGAGAUGGGAACAGACAACGUGUCAUCUACCGAACACAACGGAUUUCUUCACCCCGCAAAUUAAAGUGUCACCAGUCUGAUCAAAUGAUUGACAGCUGGGAGCGAGCCAGGAAGCUUCGAGUCAUCCGUUUGAUCGGAUGAUCAACAGAUCACACAAAAAGGACGGCCCUGCAUUGGUGGUGGCAGCAUUUGGGAUAGGAUCGAUAUCGUACAAAACCAGGUCUUGUUUAGUUGCUAAAAUUGGGAGUACCAAAAUUACUGUGCCGGCACUGUAGCACACUGUAGCGUUUCGUUUGUAUUUGGGAAUUAUUGUCCAAACAUUGACUAAUUAGGUUUAAAAGAUUCUCUCGCAAAGUACAACAAAACUGUGCAAUUAGUUUUUAAUUUCAUCUACAUUUAGUACUCCAUGCAUGUACCGUAAGUUUGAUAUGAUGGAGAAUCUUCUUUUUACAUAGUGCCAAAGUUGGGAGUUGGGGGUGAAGUAAACAAGGGUCCAAUGACGGAGCUGGCCGAAAAUUUUAGCUGGGGCGGACUCGCACGACGAACAUGAGGGCAAAAAAAAACAUUUGCAUGCGACAUUUAUAUUGAAACCACAACAGUAGUAUCACAAACGGCACAUAUAUGAAGGUUUAAGAUGCCAUAACAUAAUCUUCAACACAUAUUCUACUAAUACAAGAACUAAUCAUGUCUAGGCUUUCUAGGUGGCCUAGGCAAGUCUAUGGCCCGAUUCUUGCUAGCUUGAAAUGUCUUCUUGAUUUCAUCUCCAUCAAUGCCUCAAAAAUUUCCUUCUCAAUGUAGCACAAUAUCAAGCUAUUAAGCCACUCAUCGUUCAUUCUAUUCCGUAGAUCUGUCUUGAUUAUAUUCAUAGCUGAAAAAGCUCUUUCAACAGAUGCUGUUGCUACUGGUAGAAGCAAUGCUAACUUAACGAGCCGAAAGACCAAUGGAAAAGCAAUAUCUCUUUCACGUUUAACCAUUUUUAUAGCCAAACUUCCAAAAUCAGGACAAUCUUUGAAUAAAUAAACUCUUCGCAUAUGUAUGACAAAGGUCUCAAGUUGAUCUCUUAUAUUAGAACGCUCAAUGUCAGUGAAAUCUUGAUCAUAUAUUUCAGUCAAUCGAGCAAUCUUUUCUAUAUCAAACUUAGCAAAAGAAUUUCUUGGAUCCAGACAAGCGAAGGAAACAAGCAACUCUGAUGAUACCUCAUUGAAGCGAUGGUCCAUCUCUGUCAUAAUAGCAUCAAGAGCAGCCAGGAAAGUAUCAACACAGUAAUGAUAUUCUUGAGUGAUUAAGUUACCAUCUAGCCUUGACCGACCCCAUCUAGGUAUUGUCUCAUCCAUGUUUGGCACUGGAAUCUUCUUAUCAUUGCAAAAUGAUAUGACUUCAUCAAGUAAUGGCUGCCAGCCUUCAUUUCUCAAAGUGACCAGCCGUGUUCUCACAUCAAUAAGCAAUGAGAAGGCCUGAACAAUAUUUUGAUCCUUCCUUCGCAGCAAGAGAGACAACUCAUUAGUAAUGCGAAGCACUUUCAACAUGAACUUCAUAUUCAAAACAAAAGAGAAGCUCUCCAUUUUGCGCACCAAACCACCUGCUCGACUAGUAUUACGCUCAUCCUCAUGAACCAUUGACAGCACCUUGACAACAGAAUUCCACAUUGACUCAAUACGAGCUAAUGUUGUUAAAUGAGAACCCCAUCUUGUUUCCCCAGUUCUAACCAAAUUUGUUUUUUGAUGCUUUCCUGAAAAGAUUUCACCACUUUCCAAUCGUUCCAAAAUUUCUUCACGAUGCUUUGCAAUUAGCUUAUUUUUUCUUUUACAUGAUGAACUUGCACUAGUCACAAUUAAGCUCACAUAGUUGAAGAAAUCAUCAAAGGAUGAGCAACUAGAUGUAACAGAAACAAUGACUAGUUGCAAUUGGUGGGCAAAGCAGUGAACAUAAAAAGCAUAUGGGUUCUCAUCACGAAUUAGUUUUUGCAAACCAUUGAAUUCACCUCUCGUAUUUGAUGCUCCAUCAUAUCUUUGUCCCCGUAGUCUACCCAUAGAUAAUCCAUAUUUGGCAAGCAUUUGAAGCAAAGAAUUCUUUAGUGAUUUUGAUGUUGUGUCCUCAACAUGCUUCGGACCCAAAAACCUUUCCACAACCAUUCCUUGUUUGUUCACAAAUCUGCAAAAAAAUGAUAAUAAGCAUUUGAAGCAAAGAAUUCUUUAGUGAUUUUGAUGUUGUGUCCUCAACAUGCUUCGGACCCAAAAACCUUUCCACAACCAUUCCUUGUUUGUUCACAAAUCUGCAAAAAAAUGAUAAUAUUAGUAUUAAUAAACUAGUAUAGCACAGAUGAAUAAUGAAUCUUUCUGAUUUACUCAUGUAACAAACUAACCUUACAAUAACAGCCAUUUGCUCGGCUAUCGAGACAUCACGAGAUUCAUCGAUGAGAACGGAAAAAAGAACGGUAAUGCUUCUUCUGCAUCAGCAACCACAGAUUGAACCUGCUCUUGAUCUUGAACCACACGGUCCACACCUUCAGAUUCCAAAGCAGCCACAUUUUGACUUUCCCUAGUACUUGGGCGCCGGGAGGAACCAGAACCAGAGCCAACACUCAAAUUCGAAAAGAAGCUCUUCAAAUCUACAGAAAUCACAUUGAGCACAUGAAUAAAUGCUAAGAGUUCCAAUUCAAUUGAGAGCAGAGGAUACUUGAUUUGGGGCGACAGGGGCGAUUUGGGGCGCCUCGCCCUCGCCCAACGCCAACGCCGACCGGGACCAUGCUCUGCUGCUCAUCAUCAGAAGCUUCCGGUGCCGCCCCUCUUCCACGGCCGCGCAUUUUCCAUCUCCAUUUCUUUUGAGAAUCUAGCUAGUAUACGUCAUCUGUGCAUCCUCUGUUGAUAUAACGGCUAGAACCAUUUUCGCCUAUUAUAAUCGUAAGAGAAAAGUGAAUGCCUUACCGGUCUGUUAUUCAACAAUUCUUCUGAGCACGUCACGUCAGAUAAAAAAGAAACGGAAACUAGAGUGUCCGAUGCUGUGUUGAAUGUUUGUAGGAUCGAUGACGUAAAACACAUGCACAUCGGCCGUACUUUUCCUCUGUGCUGAAGAACCAGAACACGGCCAGUACUGUGCGGCCAUCUUCUAAUUUCAGUGUUUAAUCUAGUGGCUUUGACAGCUUAUUAUUAACUGAUCUCCCAAAAAAAUCUACAAGAGGCGCAGAUAGUUUGGGAGAUGAGCAAACCACAAAUCAGAACAGAGAACAGAAGAUUUCAGGAUGAGAGGUUAGACAUAAUCUAUUCCAUUCCAAAGCUUUCAACAGCCGAACAAAGCAUAAUUUCUGCUGAUGGAUGGCAGGUAGGUUUAGUCUUGCACACACAUGCAGUAUAUACACAGAAGAAGCGAGUAGUGAUCCUGUACAAAGGCUGGACGAGCUAGCUUCCUAAUCGCCAUUGGAGAUCAGCUAAUAUUCUCCAGGUGAGUACUAGGCACAAUCAUUUACACACAUAACUAGAGAAGAAAGUGAAGGAAUAAUAGCAGCUCUAGCUACAACCGGCGGCGGUCGGAGGAGGCGAGGCCGUCGUCGAAGUUCUGAGAGUAGCUCUGCAGGUCGUACCCGAAGCUCACCGCGGCCCGACGCCUCGGCCGCGCGGCGCGUCUCCUCCUCCACGUGGACCUCAGCCUCGACAGCAGCUGCUUCACCGCCGCCGCCGACCGGCCGCCGCUCCUCCUCCGGCUGUUGCUGCCGCCGGUGUACAGGCCCAGCUGCAGAGACGCCAUCCUCUCCUAGCUCUCUCGAUCAGUCGAUCGCUAACACGAUCACAGUCGGAGCGUUAUGUUAUGAUCAGAACGCAGACUUGUCGCGCUCGCAAGUCGCAACUAGCUGCCCGCGGCCUCUCUGCUCGUAGCUACCUCUGCAAUGAAGCUUCUCAAGACCUUGUGCCAGAGAACGCACCCCAUGGUGCUGCUUUUAUAAGCUGGGGCAGGUGAUGUGUUCCGACACGCGUCGUCGCGGCGAGACCCGCCAGCAGCAUGGUGACGAGACAUCCACUACGGCGAUCGCCGUGUGGACGACGGUCCGGGCAAAAGCCGAUUCCAGGCAUCUUUUUCGUGCGGUCGAAAAGAAAAGGUAACCGUCGUCUAGCACGCACCAACCGCAGCACAGCAGCAUGCGUGUUUUUGUUGGUUUGGUGGUAGGCUUUCCUUACUCGGUUACUCCUUAGUGACCUGUCGAGCUAGCUAGGACGCAUCAUGCAUGAGAGAGAGGUGGCCACGGCCGUCGCCGGCCUGAACCGCUGCUAGUGAAGCGGAGGUGCGUUAAGGUCGGCGGCCUCGUGUCGUGAUGCCGAGCUAGUCUACCGUGCACGCGCGCGGGGGGCGCCGGUCGACUGGAAUGUCACCUGCAGAAUGCGUUUCCGCUGCCUGUCGCCUGCCGAUUGCCGAAUAAUCCCUGGGUGAGUUGGGCGAGGUGUUUUAUUUCAAAAAGGAAAAGUUGGCCGAGAUGUGAUGCGGCUCCAUUGUAUUGCUACUCGAGGCUACGAUUUGCCCGCGUGCACAGCAGUGCUCAACAUGACAUGUCAUCACAGCAGGCUGGGAUCUUAUCCUUGUAGAUGAAAGGCAAAUUGAAUCCAAAAGUAUAUACUCCACAACGUACACGUGUCUUAAAGCUUGGAACAUGGACACAUGGUCGUCUUUGGAUAAUCCUAAAAGAAGAUGACAUCGAGUCAUAAUCAUGCGUAGGAUUGAGGUGGGAGCGUAUUAGAAAGUGGUCUACUGAGUACAACGAACUAGUGCAUCGUAAAGAAAGAGAAAGGGAACGCACUAGUGUUAAAGCAAAAAAAAAAACAUCGAGAUCAUUCGUUGAAUGGAUAUCGGGAACACAGAAAUUGUCAUGUUCCGAUGACAACGAAUUUUUACAUCCUGCAAAAGUGUAGUCGGAAAGAAAUUAAUUAAGGGGUGUUUGGGAGACUUUAGCCCCUGUCACAUCAGAUGUUUGAUACUAAUUAGGAGUAUUAAAUAUAGGUUAAUUAUAAAACUAAUUGCACAACUUCUAAGCUAAAUCGCGAGAUGAAUCUAUUAAGUCUAAUUAGUCCAUGAUUUGGCAAUGUGGCGCUACAGUAACCAUUCGCUAAUGAUGGAUUAAUUAGGCUUAAUAGAUUCGUCUCGUGAUUUAGCCUAAAGAUUCUGCUAUUAGUUUUAUAAUUAGCUCAUAUUUAGUCCUCCUAAUUAGUAUCCAAACAUCCGAUGUGAUAGGGUUAAAGUUUAGCCCCUACCUUCCAAACAUCCCUAGCUAAAUGCCCACUGAUGUCAAAGCAAUUUCGUCCUCUAGAAGGGGAGCGAGGAAGCUUCGAGUCAUCAGUCUGAUCGACGUAUUACACAAAAAGGAUCCAAGAAUUGGUGGUGGCAGCAUGGGGAUCGGUGUCGUACAGAUGAUCCGAGUCAUCGUGGUCCAAGGAUGACUGGCCAUAUUUUCGCUUUUAAACUUUUGCCAUGAUGUUAGAUUUUUGCUUGCGUGAUGCGCUCCCUUUUACACGGCUACUUCUCAGUACCUUUAACUUGGCUACAGAAAUUAAGAACAAAAUGAUUUUUCGUUUGGAAUCAGCUACAAAAGUUCCCACAGAAUUUGUCUAUUUAAGUAUUUUUCAACUCCACUUUUGAUUAGGAUUGUAAAUUUCGCCUUAUAAUGCAGCAAAAUAGUUAAAAACAUGAGAAUCUAAGUAUAAAUAUUAGUCACGGUACUGCAAAACAUGAGAAAAAGGUGCAUGAUUUACUCUUUUGGUCACUUAUCGAAUACCUAUAUGUCUUGGUUUUUACAAAAUGGAACUUGUCAUGCUUCUGCAUUCUCGAUUAAUGCAGCGGCUAAGGUAAUUUUAUUUAAAUCCACUAUAUAUCCCAAAAGAAAAGCGAAUACCUGUCGGAUCAACAAAUUUUGCACGAGAACAUAUCACAUCAUCAGCUAAAAAGAAACCAAAACUAGAGUUUUAAAAUUUUGUGGCAUUCAUAGUUUCAGCGAUCUCACUGGCCACCGAAAAAUCCGCUAGAAAGCCGCAGACAGUUUGGGCCGAUGAACAACAACAAUCGGUUACAGGUUUGUGGCACAUAUCAGAACAGAGAAAGAUCUCAGAAUCAGGUUAGAAGCCAUUCCAUUCCAAGCUUCCAACAGCUGAACAAAGCAUAAUUUUGCUGAUGGAUGGCAGGUUUAGUUUAGUCUUGCAUACACAGCUGACUACACAGAAUUACAAGAAGCGAGGUGAUCCUGUACAAAUUAAAGACUGCACGAGCUAGCUAGCUAAUCAUCACUGGAAAUCGGCUAGUACUCUCCCGGUGACGAGGCACAAUCAUUUACACACAGAACUGGAGAAGAAACUGAAGGAAUAAUAGUACUGGCUCAUAGCUCUAGGUUCUAGCUACAACCGGCGGUGGUCGGCGGAGGCGAGGCCGUCGUCGAAGUUCUGGCAGUAGCUCUGCAGGUCGUAGCCGAACCUCACCGCGGCCCUCCUCGGCCGCACCACGCGUCUCCUCCACGUGGACCUCAGCCUCGACAGCAGCUGCUUCGCCGCCGCCGCCGCCGACAGGCCGCCGCUCCUGGCAUGGAACCUCCUCCGGCUGCCGCCGGUGUACAGGCCCAGCUGCAGAGAUGGCAUCCUCUCUCUCGAUCGCUCACAAGUCACAAGCUAGGCACAAACUCUCUCGCAACUAGCUUCCCGGCCUCUCUGCUCGUAGCUACCUCUGCGACUGAAGCUUCUGAAGACCUUGAGCCAAAGAACGCACCCCAUGACCCCAUAUAUGGUGCUGCUUUGUAAGCUGGGGGCAGGGGAUGUGUUCCGACACGCGUCGACGUCGCGGCAAGACCCGCCAGCAGCGCGGUGCCGAGGCUUCCACUACGGCGAUCGCCGGAAUGGUCCGGGCAAAAUCCGAUCUGAG
rnacentral:lncRNA from 1 species